rnacentral:lncRNA from 1 species
UCUGGGGGGACAGGUUUACAUGGAAGUCCUAGCCGGGUACAAGCCUAAGAGUUCUACCCAAGUACAACUCGGGUAGUUUCCUACCGUGUCCAACUAGUUUCACUACUAUACAAGUAAUCCUAUUGCUUUAUGAGUAGUUACAACAGAUGUAGACCAUGAGCCAUGUCCCAUCCCGUAUCCUAGGACAAAUGUGCCAUGUGGACAGUCCCGUGUGCCCGGGUCUGACAAGCCCCCGAGCUCUUCGUAGCCGAGUGCUGCAGGCGUCCGAGUACUUCUGAAGGCAUCUUCAAGUUCUCCCGAACUCCAUCUUGAAGAUGUCCUUAGAGUACUUCCUUGGCUGCGUCGAGGCUGUGAGGUACUCAUGCCCCAAGUAGUUGUCCAGUCUUAUUUAUAUGGGGUGCGAUUAAACUCGCACUCCAUAUGGAGUAGCCCCCGAGCCUUAGGUUGACUCGUAGAAUUAGGCUGAGGGUCAAUUUAAUCUUGAGUCUUCUGUCCUUAUCUUCUAGCAUAUUUGAAAAAUAAGUCGUUGAUGACACGUGUCCCGCAGCCCUAAGCCUUGAAUCCAAAUCCCCAAGUUUUGGAAUAAAGGAUCCAAAGAAUCGUGGCAUGCAAUAAAUGACGGCAAAGAUUUGAUGGUGAACAUGGGAAAAUUGAUGUAGUAAAUUUGAAAACCUUGUUUUUGGGAUGAAUUUCCUGAAAAAAUGGUUAAACAAAUAACAUCCCAAAAAACACCCAAAAUUACCUCUCAAAUCAACUUUUAUACCCUAAGCCAAUGACUAAAUAAGUCCUCUGGGUAAUAAUUUGAACAAACCCCUUAUUUCGGAAUAAAAUGCCUGAAAUAAUAGUUAACAAACAUCUACCCAAGAAGAAUCUUAAAAAGCCUCUUAGAUCGGGUAUUGUUGAGUAGUUGUACAACAUCCAGUAUGUAAGCAUGAGAGCUAUCCCUUGAGGCACGCUGAGUGCCUUGUCCCAUCAAGCUCCCGAGCCAGGAGCCAGAUGAUAAGCAUAAAAUAGUCAUAGCAGAAUGGUGGCGCUAGCCCCCGAGUCCAGGCAUUGGGAAAGUAGCCGCUGAGUCUUGAAUUGUCGAUGAAACCAUCUAGUCGGAGUCGAUCCCGACUAGGAUUGAAGUCAAGAUGAGUAAUCGAAGUAGUUGAAUAGGUGUAGAACUAGUCGUUAACUAGUAAACUUCUUGUCAUGGGAGCUAGGCCCCUUCAAUAACAUAGUGUAGAAGUCAAAAACGAGUAAUACGUUACUGCAAAAUAAGGGUGCGAGACCCCUUCAGCGAAUUUGCGCGUAGUGCCAAUCGUAAACUAGUAAAAUGGCGUUGUACUGGGAAUAUAAGCGCAAAGCCCCUUCAGUACCACAAGAUACUAGUCGGAAACUAGUAAUUAGGUACUGGCAGUAUGGGAGCACGGCCCCUUCAGCCAACUUGAGCAUAAUACCUGUCGUAAACCAGUAAAACAGAGUUGUACUAGAAGUAUCAAUCUCCAGGCACCAAUAGAAGAUGUCCCCAGGUGAUCACGGAUGAAAACAGCGUAGAUGCUCAAUAUUCAAAGAAUUUGCUACCUCCCAGCCAUCAUUGUACUGUAAAUGAUAAGAUCCAGGGUUUGUAACCUUGUGCACAAUGAAAGGUCCUUCCCAUCGUGAGUUAAGCUUGUGUAGGCUGGUAUCAUCCUGGAUUCAUCGAAGAACCAUAUCUCCAACAUUUAAAGAGCGUCGUUGAACAUUCCUGUCGUGGUAACGAUGGAGUCCUUGUAAGUAGCGGGCCGACUAGAACAAUACAUUGCAUCAGAUCUCCUCAGCUGAGUCAAGCUCGAGAUGUCUUGCAGUGUCAGCCUCAUCUUCUUCAAACAUCUCCAGUCGUGGAGACUUCCACAUCACGUCAUCUAGUAAUAUAGCUUCAGACCCGUAUACGAGAAAGAAAGGUGACUGUCCUGUGGCUUUGCUUGGUUGUGUGUGAACCCCCCAGACUACUGAUGAGAUCUCAUCGAUCCACUUGCCACCCUUUUUGCUAUUCUCAUCGUAGAGUCUUUUCUUCAAUCCAUCAAGAAUCAAGCCGUUGGCGCGCUCAACCUGGCCAUUGGCCCGUGGGUGAGCCACUGAAACAUAUUUGACUUCAAUGGAACUACGUUCACAAAAGUCCUAGAAUUGAUGCGAGUGGAAAUUGGAUCCCAAAUCUGAUAGUGUUGGGGAAGCCAAAAUGAUGUAAGAUGUUGCAGAUGAAAGUAACCACUCAAUCCGCUGAGAGCAUUGCGAUUGGCUUGUACUCAAUCUACUUGGUAAACUUGUCGAUGGCCACCAACACGUGUAUGAAACCUCCUGGUGUAGUUGUUAAGGGUCCUAUCAUGUCCAGGCUCCAGCAUGCAACGGCCAUGAAGGUAGUCUAGUGAUGAGGUUAUGAGACAGAACAUGGGGCUAUAUGCCAAAGAAUUGGCAGUUGGUAUACCGGCGAACGAGUGCUUCGGCAUCUGCCAAAGCAGUCGGUCAGUAGAAACAAGAACGAAAUGCCGAACCCAUGCUGGGGUCCCUUUGUGCGUGUGGUGACAGCAGACCCAUGCUGGGUGUUGGCAUUGGCGAUCUUGGCCUUGGGCUCUGAGCCGAUGCUACGGGAUCUAUGGCUCCUAGCGGAAAUCUUAAGUACCGCUUGUUCCAACAGAUCCAAGUGUGGAGCGCAUGUUGUAGGUCCUCGUCUCCAUCGCCUCCAGGGAUCUCGAGGUCGAGGUCUUCCCAUCCUCUCUCGACCCGGUCAACCAUGACUCUAGCAUAUCCUUCAAGAUUCGGUACACCAUGAAUUGUCCCACCUUGGACAGGUACUUCGGCAAUUCUGUGAGCCACUAAUUUGACCUUUUUCCUCUACUGAUAAAGAAGCUCGCAGGGGGUCCUCACGGUGAUGUCAUCCAUGGGGUAACGUUGUUGGUUGUCCACAACCAUUUCAGUUUGGUCUCCACCGGCCGGAUGCUCCGUGGAAGCAACACUGCUACGGUGUUGAGAGCUGCGGCUGCUCUCCAUAUUAGGAGCUGAAGGAGCUUCUUGUAGUCGUUGGCUAGCUGCCAUUGCACCUUCAAUUGAAGCUACUAGUUCUUCUAGGGCAUGCAUCUUGUCUUCCUGUUCAGCCUUCCUUCUACAUCGGCUUUGAUAAGCACUGAAGCCAUGCUUCCAUGGAACUACGCCCAUGCCUGGGACACAUCCUGUGUGUUCUGGUGUCCCAAGAGCAUAUGUCAGCUCGUCUUUCUCUCUGUCAGGCUUCAAAGUGCCUUCGGCAACGGCCUUUAGUGCCGUAACGAGCCUGUUGGCCGAUUCUCUUAUUCUAUCGGUAGUCACGAACGAUCCAUCUUCCAUGUUUAGUGUGCCUCCAUGAGCAUAGAAGAAAUACUUUGGUCGCAAUGGUCAAUUGAAAGUAGCCGGUAUGAUUCUCUUGCCAUUAGGUCUUCUUCCAUCUUCUACCAUUUCGGAAUUGCCAAAGAAUAACCUCCUUGGCCAAGAUGAUGGAAGUGCUUCUUCAUGCUCACAUUGUCUUUGUUCCAUCUUGUUCGCUCCUUGCUGUCCUCGGACAACUUGUACUGCAUGAAUUCAUCCCAAAAAGGACGUUGCUUCUUGUAGUUAUUCUCAAAGUCUGGCGUGAGGCCCCUUUUGACAUAGUCUUUGUUCAAGUUUUUCUUGAAUGUCUGAAAAGCAAUAGCCAUCUUCUUCAUGACCCAAUCCUUCAAGACUUUCUCUUUGUCCUUUGGAAAAUUGAAGUGAGUUUCACCUCUCUCCAUAACAUUUCCUUUUCCGUGUCAGGAAGAUGUCUGCAUCAUUACCAGUGACUGUAUUUUUCUUCCAUAGUUUGUAGCUAAUGGGGAUGUUUUCCUGGACAAAAUAUCAGUAUUGAUUGACCAAUGUCCUGUCAACACCCUUGGGAGCUAUUGGUUCAACGUCCUCUUUCAAUAAGGUGAUUUUGGUAUGCCCCUCCAUCUUUUUCUUCGAGCCUCGUUUCUAUUUUGGCUUCCUCAAUCCAGAUGCCUGGAAAAAUAUCUAUUAAUACACGCAUUUCAUACAUAGAGAAUUCAUAUACAUAUAUACAUAUAUAUGUAUAUAUAUCAUGUUAGUUUAUAUAGGCAUGAAUUUCAUAUACCUCGGCUUGAACCUCUUCCUGAGCAAUUUCCAUCUGCUCAUCAUUGCCAUCGCCAGUAUCGUUGAGAUAUUGGCUGCCAUCAUCCUCGAGUGCAUCAUCUUCGAGGAAUGGUGGGUGAUUGGUACCUUCACGCAUUAUAUUAUGAAGGAACUCAUCUUCGUCACCACUAGGACUCAUUUCGAUUCUCGUGCGAACAAAAUAUGCAAUGUCUAUAAUAUUCUACAAUAUUCAAUAAUUUUCUACAAUAAAUACAUGAAGUUGUACUGCAACAAAAUUACAGCACAUAUAAUUUUCUACAAUUUUCUACUAUUUCCUACAAUUUUCACCUUCUUCUGCAAUAUUCUACACUAUUCUACACUAUUCUACAAUUUUCUACCAUUUUCUACAAUAUUCUAAAAAUUUCUAUGAUUUUCUACUAUUUUGAACUAUUCCCUACAAUUUUUCACCUUCUUCUACACUAUUUUACAAUAUUCUACAAUAAAUACAUUAUUCUACAAUAUUCUACACUAUUCUACAAUUUUCUAUAAUUUUCUACAAUUUUCUCUAGAUUUCUAUAAUUUUUUAAAAUUUUCUACCACACUUACAAAUUUUUAAAAAAACUAAAAAAAGGCUGACAUCAGCACAUUGUAGUGCUGACGUCAGCAUGGGGCUUACGUCAGGGGGCAUGGGGACGCGACGGCGUGCACGGAGGUGGUGGGCGGCCGAGGGCGUGGAGAGGGCGCGGCGGGCGGCGGCGGGUGCGCGUGGAGGUUAGCAGCCGAGGGCGUGGCGGCGGCGGGGGCGCAUGGAGGUCGGCGGCUGAGGGUGUGGCGGUGGCGGGCGCACGUGGAGGCUGGCGGCGCGGCUCGACGCACACGAUGGCCGGCGGUGAGGGCCGGGGUGUGCCGCGGCGGUGAGGGGCCGGGGCAAGGCAGCGUGGAGGCUGGGCCCAGGGCAGGGCGGCGCGUGGCGGGGAGGUCGGGCCGCGUCAGCGGUGGCGGCCGGGACGGGGACGAGACGGGAUGAGGCGCAGCGCCAAGCCGGUAGAUGAUGCAGGGACGGCGGCGUGCAGCGUGGAGGCCCUGUGGUGGCGGAGCGAUGGCAUGGAGGAGCGGUGGGUCAGGAGGUGGACCGAGGCGGAGCGGCGGCCGAUGAUGGAGACGAGAGGGGACUUGGUGUCGAUUGAGAUCGACGCCAAGUCCUGUGCGCUAUAUAGGGCAGCCCGUUUAGUAGCGGGCCGUGGCUGUGCCCGAUACUAUACUUCAUAGUGCAGUACCGGGCAAUGCCUCGGCCCGGUACUAAACUGGGUCCACUGGUGGGAAAUUUUUGUGGAGGCAGUUUAGUACCGGCUGUUGGCGGUCUUUAGCGUAACAGAAUAAAUCUGCAAGUGUACGGAUGCCGAUGUAGCUUUCACUAGGAGUAUUUCAAGGUAUUAAAUCCACGAGAAAUGAUAAGUGUACUAGUAAUGACUCUUGUUAAUCUAGGGGAUAUGACGGGAGUGAAGAGGUGCAGAUAAGUUAGGUAGAGGUGUUCUAACAUCAUUUUCUCUUAUCAAGAAUACUUGACUCUAGCUACUUCGGCGGCUGGAAGAGGAAGGACUUCAGAACGGGGUGAGAGGGGAGUCCAACGGCAACUUGUUACUACUGUUAUUGAAACACUCGAACAUGGUGGACUGUGAGAGACAGAUAAGGAUGUCACCACCUGCUGCCUACUACACUGUUCCGUGGGGUGGAACACAACCCAAGGUAACUACCAAGCCUAGGCACCAUGCCUAAACUAUCUAAUAACUUACUCCUGCUGUGAUUAGGGUAGAGAGCACUAGCAAAUAAGUAGGACUUUCUACUUACGCCAACAAGGGAUCCUGCAACUAGAGAGAGCAAGUAUUCAAGUACUAAAAAAGUAAAGGAGAGAAAGCAAUAUUACCGAUAAAAGAGGAGGAAAUUACUUGAAUCGAAGCUUCAUUCCUUAGAGGUAUAAAGUUGGGGAGGGGCCGACACUCCGGCUUCUCUCCGGACUCUCACCUCACCUCUCUCCCUAUUUUCUAAAGAUAUGUGGGUAGCGCUAUGCUUCACCUUGGACUUGCUCCAAUUCUCCAUGCUUUGAAUGGAGGUGUGGGCUGCAUUUUAUAGGCCUUUAAGGAUGGUGCUAACUAUGUUGCUUAUCUUGUAAGCAGGUACGUCAGUUGAGGUAACUUCCAUGUGAAGGGGGCACGUGGCGUGCAAGUAGUAGGCCGGCCGGCCUCUCUCAGGCCGGCCGGCCUGGGAUUUUCACCACUUUGCAUUGUCUUUGGUGUGGACAUCCCAGAUGGCGGUUAUGGUUGCAUGUUAGCCGUCUCUUUAGUUGCAAGGCCGGCCAGCCUCCUGAUGGCGGUUAUGGUUGCAUGUUAGCCAUCUCUUCAGUUGCAAGGUCGGUCGGCCUCCGGCCUGAGAAUUUCUCUCCAGGCGUUGGAUCAACCUCCUUAUGGCGGUUAUGGUUGCAUGUUAGCCGUCUCUUCAAUUGCAAGGCCGGCCAGCCUCCGGCCUGAGAAUUUCUCUCAAGGCGUUGGAUCAACUGCCAUUGUGUGAUUGACGGCGUGGAUUAGCUCUUCCAAGGCGGUUUGCAGUCAGUUGGGCGUUAUCCAUGCGAAAGGUGGGGCCUUUGAUCCAUGUGACAAGCUCAUCCAUCCCUCCACUUGUCUUAACUUCCAUCCAAUGGUUGGCAAUGAUCGUCUUUGUGUUUCUUUGCAUGUAGGUGCACGUCCGACCUUGCAUGAUCAGCCCAACUUCAAGUGGCCAAUUCGAGAGCCCAUUUGAGGGAGCAUAUGAGGCCUUUCGGCCUUAGCUUCGCUUUGUGCAUGUCUCCCUAGUGUUUGGUGGUCCAUUGGUGAGUCCCCAAGGGCAUGAUAAUUAGUGGGACUUGUUUUAAGGAGGUGCAGGGCCUGCCGACCUGGCAAGGCCAUGUCAGUGAUUUUCCCAGAGGCAUAACUUUCCGUCCGGACUCUAAAUUUGGUGAUCCAAGUGUCCAUUUCGAUCAUCUCGAAGAGAUCUUCAACAUGGUGCAGUCAAAUGUGUGAUUUGAGUAACCUUUGCACCUUUUCCAAGUGUCCUUUGUGUCAAAAUGUCUGAAUAAACUUUCAUUCGUAUGGCCUCAACUGCUACUUCACCAAUAACGGUAUUUGUGCACCAUAUUACCUAUAUUCCUUGCAAAAUAUAUUGGGACACAAAACUCAUGGAACUCAUUAGUUUAAAUAAAACUUUAUGUCAGCACUACAAGUUCCAUCAUUAUUUGCAAUGGUUGGCGGCCAAAAUGGUGUAUAAUGGCCAUCAACACACCCCCACGCUUAGAUCUUUGCUCGUCCCGAGCAAAGGGUAGGAUGAAGAAUAUCAGGACAAGCAAGACUAAGGUAGACUUUGAUGCAGAACUUCUCAAGUUAAUGGCUAGCAUAACCCUUAUUCCAAAAUAUUUCUCAUACCUGUGGGGUUUGAAGUGGCUAUGAUGCCUGCCUUCGGCGGUUGAAAAGUGGAAUAACCCGAAUGAAGUUAUGACUUCCCUCUAAUCAACCAUACUUGGAGUUUUGAUCAUUGUUGUUUUUUUUUAAAAUUCCUUAGCUCAUAUAAUCCUCAGAUGGCACUUUUGAAUAGUUCAUGUGGUAACUUUAUUCCUAGCUAAGACCAUUGACCAGUUUCUCCCUACAAUCUAUAGGCUUAUAUGGAGCUCGGGUAGGGAAAAUGUAGGCUCACCUAUGCUGUGUAUUUUAUUAAGUCAAAAAAUUGGUCCUAGUGAAGGUUAUGACACUUCUCUUCCGAUCAUUGGGAAAUAGAUAAUCGAGGAUGGGGGAGAAAAAAGAACACAACACAAGUGUGAUGGAAUGUAGUGAACAAACCAUAUAUUGUGGUUUUGAAAGAAUAUGGCCUUGAGUGGCACUCCUUAUUUUUCAUGGACCCCCGUUGUGGCAGAACCAAUCGAAUUAACCCGGCUCAAGUGCAGUAACCUUCAUCCAUGAAGAUGAACCGGCUACCAUGUACUUCAAACGGAGUAAUCCGACAGUCUGUCGGGUAAAUACCGAUGCGACCACUUAAUAUUUCGAUCGAAACAAAGCAUACACAUAACUCGCACGAAGGCAAGUCCAAAGAUUAUAACAUUUCAUAGCUUUCAUCUCACAAGUCUAACAUCAAUUAUUACAAGUCGUGUUCACUACACAAGUACUUUAGAGUUUAACAUAAAACUUUUUUCAGAGUUAAUAACAGCGGAAAGAAAACACGAUCAUCUAUCGUCAAUCUGGAUACCACAGUGAUGCCCAUACGUGGCAUCACUCGGCAGAGUCAUUGUUGGCCGGGGACGAAUCCCACUCUACAGACCAACUAGUUGAAAAAGUACUCAGCCAAGCCAAACUAGCUAUCAUAUCUUCAAAAGAUACACCUGAAAACAUUACCACAAACAAGGCUAAGUAUACUAAUACUCAGCAAGACUUACCCGACUAGUGGUAUGUAAAUACCGACUACUAAGCAUGCAUAGCUCUCGGGUUCUAGGGUUUCUUUUUGCUGAAAAGCAAUAAAGAGCAAGUCCUUAAUUUUAUAUUUUAGCUUUUAAUAUUCUAGUUCAUUUAACCAGUCUAGGUGAGCAUCUAUCUCUAACCAAACAUGAUGGAAACAAUUAAUCAUCCAACAAGUUUCAUCAUAGCCAUAGUUCCUCUUGUAACUCUAUGUGGCAGAAGUAUUACGCAGUCUCAAUUACUGCGAGAAACGGACGAUUCGAAUCGAAUUUCUUAACCUUGCAAGGUAAAUCGAAACAUGUGUCAUGUGGUUACUCCCAGAGUCACACGUGCAACUUUUCCCCUUUAUUCCCGUUUCAUGGAUCAGGGCCACCGUCCUUGAGUACAAGAGGUCCACGAACCAUGGAUGAUGCCAGGUCAUGGCUACUCUUGCACUCACCAUUAGGCCCAUGGGAACAGCGUCAAGACGGUGGGAGGUCUGUCCACGCACCGGUUCAAUUAGGUACUUAAGCUUACCGAUUACCAUAUUCUCGGUAUGUGGUUAGUACGUUCAAACGCUUAACCACCAUCACCACACACUGCGGCCUUAGCAUUUUUCACUACUCAGACGGGGACUCAACCAUGAGUACCAUACCAUAGCCCCGCCUGUCCACCUUAUAGUUGCAGUAUGCGGUAAAACAUUCAACUCCUAUAAUUCUCGCGAGUGGCAGGAAACCACUCGACUUUUACCGUACCUAUUAGCAGAGCAACUUCUCAAACUUCCUGUUUUAGUAUUCAUUACAUUGGUUCCUAGGAUCAUGCAGCUAGGGUUCCAAUCAUCUCCUAUGAACUUAAAUGCACAGGUAAAAAGGAACAACAGUUGCAUAAAUUAAAUACUGGGAUCAUGCACCGGGUCUUGCCUUCUUAAGCAAAACUAGUCGAGAGUUCUUCCGAAUGUUGGUCUGGGUCUCCAGCGACUUCUAUUAGAUUAACUUGAGCUUCACACUGCUCACUCUCGGACUCGGGCACCAGAUUGUAGGUUCUGUCGGUGAGAGCAGUCGAGUCUAUAUGAAUGCACAUGUAUGAGUGGUUUUGAGGUACAAGAUAAACAACUAUUUCACCAUAAAGUAGUCAAAACUUAAGUUAAGUAGUCAAGCACUUUAUUUUCUUUUCCCUAGGCAGUCAUUUAUCGAGUACUUAUCUGGAUUAACUGACUUCAUUAAGUGAGCGAGUGGUUUUGCAUGUUGUAAACGGUCAUUUCCCCCAGGAAGCAUGGGUUAAACAAAACUACUCGAAGAGGUAGUUUUUGGGGUUGAGAUUUUUAUGCAGAGCUCAUGCAAAACUACUCGUAUAGGUAGUUUCUAGGUUGAGAUUUUUAUGUAGAGCUCAUUACUUAAGUACAAACUCACUGUAAAAGCUUUAGCCAUUUUCAUUCAGUAGGUUUAUCAUGAAAAUAUUUUAAACGACCACUGGUAGGAUCAAGAUUUAUUUGCAUAGAACAAACCAAGAACUGAUGCUCAACAUUUUUCUGAAUAAAUUUACUUGCACGAGUAGUUUACUGUAAAUUUUGCAGAUUUUCUUAUGCAAGAAACAGAGGCUAACAUUUUAGUUUAAAAGGAUCUAGCCUAUAACAAAAGUGCUCGAAACAUCUAGCUGUGCUUGGAUUCAGAGCAUGAAAUUUUUAUGAAAGACUUUACUCCUAGCAAUGAAGCUACCAUCCAAAAUUCAUGAGCAUUUCUUUCCUGAAACUCUUGGAGCAAUUAAAAGAUAUUUAAACUUGAUUUAAAUCUACAACUAAAAUUAUGUGGAAACAGUUCUAAGGUCCUUUUACGAAGUUGUAGAUCUUAACUUAAGGAGUCCAGAACAACUUAGCUUGUAUUUUUAGGAUUUCUCUGUGAGUUGUUUUGCAUCUUCAAAGUUAAUAGAUUGGUUUUCAAAGUUCUUGUUCCUGGUUUAUGGAUGAGUCCCUGAGAUUUUACAGAAAUCUUUUUGGAAAGAUUGAAAUCGAAGCAAAAGGGUCCUUUGCACAUGGGAACGGCGACUGCCGGCCAAAAUCCGGCGACUAGGGUUGCUGGCGGUGAGGGGCAAAGGCGGGAGAUGCAAGGGGAAAAAACCGCACCUGUUUGAGGCCUUGGGUGGGGAAGGGGUCGACCGAGGUGGCUUGCGACGGUGGCACAGAGCCGGCAGCGGGUGCGGAUGGUGGUGGUAGCGGUCCCGUGAGGAAGAUGGCGCAGAGACCGACUGUGCAGCUUCGGGGUGAGGUGGAGAAGGUGGUGGAAGGGUUGGUUUGAGCAAUGUGGGGGCGGACUGGUGCAUCCACACAUGGGUGACUGCUCGCCGGAGUUGGUGUUGGGGCGUGGAGCUCAGGGGCCUCGGGUGGGGCUUUUAUAGGCACGAGGGGAGGGAUUGUGGCCUGGGCUCGAGCCGCAGGGGAAGGCGAGACCAGGGGCAAAACCGGGGGCACGGUUGCCCCACUGGCACUAGCGGGGGCUUGCCGUGGCGCCAGCAGCAACUGCGGUAGAGGAAUGCUGCCGCGUGGAGGCUUCCUGAGGGGGUAGCGCGACAUUUUGUUUGGUUCGUGGAAGAUUUCCAGGGAGGGUCCACUUGGCUGGGCGAGCUCAGCUGCGCAGUGGUGCGCCGGCCAGCUGGCCUGCCGGCGAUGGGACACGGCAGGGGGAGGAGAGAGGAGGGAAAAGAUGAUGGGACUUAUGUGCAGGAAAUAAAAACAGCGGGGGCCUGGGUGAAAAAGGAGCUAAAACUCAUUAUUCGCAAAGUCAAAAAAAAAUAUUUUAAUACCAUUUUUGUUCAACUUUUCAAGAUAUAUGUUUUCUGUUUUAUGACUAUAUUCAUUUGAGCAAUGUAUAAAAAGUUAUUUUGAAUUUCCAAAAAAAAGUAUUCAAAUGACACGUCAUUUCAUAUGAAUUUUGCAUCGUUAGCCUUUGAGUUCAACUAGACUUUUGUUGCUCUUGAUAUGACAGAUGUGCCAUUAAAUUUUUAGAGUCAGUUGUGAUCAACUUUGAAAGUUACAAGGGUUUAUUUGCAAGAGUUCAAAUGUUUAUCCAUAUAUACACUUAUUCAUUUACUUGAAAGGUAGAUUUGAUAGGCUGUUUUAUAUAUUUCUUGCUCUUUUAUGCCUGAUUUCAUGGUCUGGAUCUUUAUUUAGUCUUUUAGACACCUAGGGUGUCACACCCGUUAGGAUUUUGGAGACUUGAAACUAUGGAGCUCUCUAUCUCUUUUUUUUCCUUUGCCUAUGGGCAGGCUAGUUUUUUUUACUCGAUAGCUCCAUGCAUCCUUUCUCUAAAUGAUUUGGGGGAAGAUACUUGGGACAUGACUGAAGUAUUUAUUUUGAAAGGCUAUAUUUGUGGAUAGGAUAAGAUCAAGGAUACACGACUGAAGCGAUUUGGUUUUGGAUUGAUGGAGGGAUGUCUGGCGAAGGUGGAUGCUAGAGUCCAAUGUGGAACUUAGCAUAACCAGAUGUGGAAGGGCUAGCAAUCAAGGGCAAACGCAAAGGAAGAAAUGAUCGGCAUUGAAAUGUCACUAUUCCAUAUGGGCAGAAGAUUUGACGAAACUUAACACAACUAUAUAGGUGGCGUAUAUUAUGAUUUUGGUUAUGUGAAACAUUUGGCUAUAGUAGGGAUUUUGAACCACUGAUGAAUUGUGAGACUAAGGGUCUGGAUUUUUUUUCAAAAUAGAACUUUCCAAGCAAUACUCAAUCAAGAAGGAAAUAAAUACUUCUAUCUUAUUAUAUCACAUUUUUCAACAACUUAGGCAAGAUCCUCCUAAAAAGAUGAUCCCACAAGCAUUGAGUACUAGUUAAGGAAUAAAAUUUAUGCUUGCAACAUAUGAGAUGCAGAGUUGUGAUCAAGUUAAUUUGUUGCACAUGGUUAAUUUUAUCAUGUAAGAGAGGCUUCCUCAAAAGAUAUGAACAUUAUGAACUAAUCUCGAGUGGGGGGAGAGAGAAGUGCAAACCAGUGUUGACGACUUGCAUAAGCUAUGUCUGUGGUACCGAGAGUCGUGUUCACAUGUGGAGUCAUGGAAGCACCUUGUCUUUUAGACUAUCUUCUCCCCCCAUGCUCAGAUUUUGCGACUCUUGGUGCCGAAAAUUGACGUCUAAGAUUGUAGUCUCCUUUGAUCUUUCCCCAUUGAUGCCUAGAAGUGGGUCUUUUCAUCCAGUUGUUCCAACUCUUCGUUCAUUUGAGUCCCAACCUGAAAGGUUAGUGACAAAAAUACCCGAAGGGAGAAAGUCGUAGAAUUAUGCCCUAAAGCUCUUUCGAUUUUAUUUUAUUGGAAAAUAAAGAUUCUUAUUCAUUUUUUUGGAAUAGAAGUGUGAAAAAAAUUGAGCAAAGUGAAUAAAAAUACGAGUUACCUCCCGACAGGGAUUGUUUAUGGUCAAAAGCUCGACCUUAGGAGCCUCCUCAUGACAUUGUAGCUAGUUGGGUGUUGUGGCUCCCUCCAUCGCCAAUCUUUGGAUUAAGCACUUGAUAUCUAGCUGCAAGACAUGCACAACAAACCACAACAUGAUUUGCAAUAUUUAUGAUAGAUAAAAUCAUCCACAACCACCCUUUUAAAAUUUUUCUGAUAGAGGGGCAUGAGAUGGCUGGACUCGGCGUGUGUGCUAAUGGUAGGAGGAGAUGGAAUCUCCUCGAAAGAGCAUGGAUCUUGUUGUUCUUCCAAGAUGAAACUUCCGUGCUCAUCAUUGUGUUCCGUACCCGACAUGGAGUUUGCUGCCUCAAGAGUAUCCAUAGAGCAGAUAUUUUCGAAAUCAUGCUCUAGCCUAUAGUAUUCAUGAGGUGUAUCAUAAUCUAAGCCUUCGACAUAGAAGUCUUUGGAUUGUUCAGGGUCGAGGAGAAAAGAUUUUUCCUUAGGGUAUACCAAACAAAAGAAAAGCUUUAAAAGAGCGUACUAAAAGAUAGGGCUCGCUGCUACGGUCACGAGAGCGCAAGAAACGCGGAAAACAGAGCUACGAUAGAAAAGAAACAACUAUCGAAAGAUUUAUGUUAUAAAGAGACCAAAGAACUAUAAGCUUCAUUUAUUUUAAUUUAGAAAACUGGUGUAAAGGAAAUUUUGAAAGAAAUAUCUAGAUUAUUAUUAGCUCAUAUUAUAUUUGCAUUUAUAAAAACGAAGUAGAACUUAGUCCAAUUUUUAUUUAUAAUUGUCUAGGUAUAAAUUACACUAGUUAAACAAUUAAUUAGCAAAGAAGUUGUGAGAACAUCUAAACGCAUAACUUCAUAUAAUUCGUGUCGAACUAACUAAUUAAAUUACAAACACAUUUAAGUUGAUAUUCAUCAAAUUAAAAUUAAUUAUGAAAACCGGAGUAUAGAUCUAAUUGGAUUUUAAUCGGAAAAACUAGAUGAGAGGACAUUAAUCAAAUUAAAUCUAUAUUUAAUUUUAAAAAUAGGAACUAUGAUACAACAAUGCUACCAAACAAUAGCUUAGGGUUUUAGAAGACUAACGCAACAAAACGGAUCGAAACAGAUUUAAAACGCGGAAACUACGCAUGAAACAAGGUUGCAAGGACCUAUACGUAACUAACUAUAGAUUUCAAAGGCUAGCAGGGAAGAUCUGCAAGACAUAGAAAAUAGUGCUCACAAAUAAAGAAAAGAUUAGGGUUAGAUCUGAAAAAUACCUUUGGUGGGGCUGGAUUGAAAAGAUGCAAUAGAUCCAGGGGGUUUAAUGCAAAAAGGCCAAGACACAGAAAUUCAUCUAAAGGUUACUAGAUCUUCCAAGGACCUAAUCAUCUAAACUGUCAUCUUCUACCUCUCUUUCACACUGGCCGGUGGAUUGGCGCUCGGUCUUGCCGGCUCUACAGGCGUUGAGAGGCUCGAUUGAGGUGGGAGAUAGGAAGAGAAGGUCGAGGCGAUCUCGACGGUAUGCUCACUAGCGGCGGGGAUGAACGGUGGUGGCCGAAAUUAGAUGGCGGUGGCGGAUGACGGCAGUCAUGGACGGCUCGGUUUUCUUGCUUGCCAGUGGUGCUCCGGCGGCGUUGAGGCCUCAAGGGCAAGCGGCGGAUGUGCGGCUCAACCUUGCCAAGCUCAUGGUGAUGUCGGAUUGCUCCGGCUUGCGAGGUAUACGGCGAAUCAGGGCUGCGACAGCCGGCGGGAUUCGGUGGCACCCGGCUCAGCUCAAUUUUGGGCGGUGCUGUGUAGGACGGCGCGGGGCGUGGAGCAAGACAGAGAGUGACGAGGAUGAACGGGUCUCAAGCUCGGGUUUUAUAGGCGCGGACAACGACGUUGUCCGUGGCGUGCAUGCCGAGGACGUCGGCGGCAGCGGCCCGGACUGUGCGGCGGGUUGGCUAGCGGGUUAGUGGGUCGGGUCAGGUUCUGUCGGAUCCGGAUCCGUUAAGGGUUGGAGUUUUCUUUAUUUUCUAGAAAUCAUUUUUCAAUGCGAAAACAAAUCUAGAAAAGUCUAGCAAAUGUUUUAAAGCACAAAAAAUAUCCAGAAAAUCUUAGAAAUUCCAGGAAAAUUCCUAGAGAUAGAUUGGGAUACGAGGAGUCCAAAAAAAUAUUUGGGACAUAAAAAAAUUUUAGAGCCUUCCAAAAAAAAAUAUGGACCUAGCUCUAGGAUAAAUGAGAAUAAUUGCUAGAAAAAUUCUGAAAAUUCUCGGGAAACCCUAUUGAUAGAUGAACACAUUCUAAAAGAUACCCACAUCCUAAAAUUAAAUAUUUUAGGGUGUGACAUGAUCGAACCAUGGCUACAAGACUAGGGCGGAUCUCAUAGCCUGGUGUGAGGAUGGGGUGAGAUGAAGGUGAAGGCUCAAAAUGAUGAGGCGGUGGGGUGGAACACAACCCAAGGUAACUAUCAAGCCUAGGCACCAUGCCUAAACUAUGUAAUCACCUACUCCUACCAUGAUCUGGGUAGAGAGCACUCACAAAUAAGUAGGACUUGCUACUUACACCGACAAGGGAUCCCGCAACUAGAGAGAGCAAGUAUUCAAGUACUAAUAAAGUGAAGGAGAGAAAGCAAUAUUACCAACGAAAGAGGAGGAAAUUACUCGAACCGAAGCUUCAUUCCUCAGAGGUAUAAAGUUGGAGAGGGGCCAACACUCUGGCUCCUCUCCGGACUCUCACCUCGCCUCUCUCCCUAUUUUCUAAAGAUAUGUAGGCAGCGCUAUGCUUCACCUUGGACUUGCUCCAAUUCUCCGUGCUUUGAAUGGAGGUGUGGGCUGCCUUUUAUAGGCCUUCAAGGACGGUGCUUACUCUAUUGCUUAUCUUCUAAGCAGGUACAUCGGUUGAUGUAACUUGCACACGAAGGGGGGCACAUGGCGUGCAAGUAGCCACUUGGCACCGUCUUUGCCGUGGACGUCCCAUAUUCACUCCUGAUGGCAGUUAUGGUUGCAUGUCAGCCGUUUCUUUAGUUGCAAGGCCGGUCGGCCUAGGUGAGGCCGGCCGGCCUAGGAAUUUCUCUCCAGGCGUUGGAUCAACCGCCAUUGUGUUAUUGACGGCGUGGAUUAGCUCUUCUAUGGCGGUUUGCAGUCGGUUGGGUGUUAUCCAUGCGAAAAGGUGGGCCCUUUGAUCCAUUUGACAAUCUCAUCCAUCCCUCCACUUGUCUUAACUUCCAUCUCAAAGGACCAACACUAGGCCUAGAGGGGGGGUGAAUAGGCCUUGUUCAAAUUUUUCCUGAAAAUCUUGGUAGAAAAACGUCAGCGGCCGGAUGAUCCGGCUCAAGGUCGGAUGUUCCGGGUUCCGGAUGAUCCGGCACAGGGUCGGAUCUUCCAGGCGGCGGAUGAUCCGGCCUAAGGUCGGAUCUUCCAGCCGGGAGAAAAUAACCAACAACUAAAUUCAAAAUAUACUUAACUUUUGACAAUUCCCUUUGAAUGCAAAGUUGGUAAAAGGUAUUGCAAAGUCUAUGCAGGAAUCCAAUAUAUGAGAUCUACACCUAUCUAGUAGAUCGGGUCAAAACAAGCUCAAGAACGAUAUGAACAACAAUAAGUAAAUGGAGGCACAAGAUUUAAUCCGAAGUUCACUUCACAAAGAAGCUACGUCUCCGUUGAGAUGCUCACAAAGAGCCGGACUGUCACUAGCCCCAAGUCUCUCACAAUCAACCACAAAGGAGGAUUGAGUUACUUACUAUUGAUCUCACAAAGAGAGGGGUAAUAUAAACUUCCAGGAGCUCAAACUACAAAGGAAUGGGAGCUUACCGGCACCUCUAACCGUCUAGGAGUAGGGCUCCAAGAGUAACAAACGCAAAUCGACGAAUCAAAGGAUGCUUCAAGUGCUUCUUGAGAUGAACAAGUGAAAGCCCAUAAAGUGCUCUCUUCCCACACCCCAAAUCUCACUCCCUCUCAAUCCCUAGGUGAAUCCUUGCAAGAAUCAAGCUCUUGGAUGGAGGGGAGGGUUGAAAUGAAUACUGUGGAGGUGUGUUAGGUUGUGGGAAGCAGCAGCAGUGAAUGAGGGGGUGAAAGGGUAUAAAUACCCCACCUACCUCAAGUGACCGUUAUGUGUAUUUCUGAGGGGUACCGGAUCAUCCGGCAUUAGUCCGGAUCAUCCGAGCAACCAACAGAAUAGGUCAAAAUACACUACGCAACUCCCAUGGCCGGAUCAUCCGGCCUAGGGUUGGAUCAUCCGACCCAGCACAGAGGGGAACAGCUAGGCAGACCGGAUCAUCCGGCCUGGGGCAGAGGAAAAUUUGCUAGCAGGAUCCGGCCUAGGGCCGGAUCGUCUGUCCUAGAUGAAUUUAGAAGGUAGAUUUUCUCAAGAAAGAAUUUCAUCUCAAACUGAAGCACUUUGAUAACUUAGAUCAAUCGACAGCAUCCCCCUUUAUAGUACGGUGGUCCUAUACUCAAAUUCAAAAUGAAAAUCUGAAUUAAAUCACCAGUGAACUCCACCACCAUACAUAUUUGAAUUGGGGACCUUCUUUUCAUCUUCUUCUCAAUUCUUUCAUUUUAUUCCUGCACACAACUUCAUCAAAGCAUCAUAUCCCAAAUUGUGAUUGUCAAGAAUCACCAAAAUCAAUUAGGGGCCUAGAUGCACUUUCAUUCUCCCCCUUUUUGGUGAUUGAUGACAAUACCAAUUUGGGCUCACUGGGGAGGAAUAAAAUUCAUGAAUUGUAAACGACAAAAUGGAAGAGCUCCCCAUAAAUAUGUGCAUGAACAACUCAAAGUGGUCUCAAAUACCAAUGCACAUAUUUAGAUGAACUCCCCCUAAGACUUUGCAUAGAAGUGCUCAAGUGUGAUAAAAUUAACCGUGAUGCAUAUGACAAGAUAUCCAAAUCAACAAAGUGACAAAUAACAUUACAUCAUCCACACGCAUCAAGCUAAUAAAAAAUCAAGUUCAUCAUCACACUUGCAAAUAAGUCUUACAAAUUAUCAAAUAAGUUAACAAGUUCACGUUCACCAAACAUGACACCAAUGCAUAGUUCUUACAUGUCCAAAGAUAAAGUUUGAUAAGACUUAAAUUAAGAUAGAAUGACGACGAUGGCACCCAAAUAUCACUCCCCCUUUGGCAGCAAGCACCAAAAAGGAAGCUGUUCAUCAGCUCACUCGGACUCGGUCUCGUCAUCGCCGCCUUCUUCCUCUUCCUCUUCAUCACUAUUGGCUUGACCCCCUCGGAAGGGCAUCUCUUGUCCUCCAUAGUCAAGCUCAACAUCUUCACCAAAUUGAUACUCUUGAGGAACAUAAUCAUCCCAAGGAUUGUAGAUGGAUGGUGGAGAAGGAAAGUCUCGAGGCUCACGAACGGGAGAAUGAGGAAUGUCAACUUUGGCCAUUAGCUCCUUUUGCCUCCUUUCUAACUUGAGGAGUUCCUCAUCCAUAUAUCUUCUAUGUUCUCGCAUUUCAUGUGCAUUUUGGCGACACAUAUUGAAGCAAGCAAAAAUGCCUUGAGCAAUAAAGGAUAACUUGCCUUUCUUGGACUUGGAAGCCUUGCGCCCGCGAGAAGUAGAUGGUGCCGUAGGAGAAGGAGGAGCAGCUCACGAAGAUGAUGCACCGGGAGUGAAGUUCGAAGCAUAGGCACCCAGAAAGGGUCCAGAAGCAGGAAUCCCCGUGCCAUGACCGGCAAUAUGAAGAGUCUAUUCGAUUUUUCCUUUGUUUGACCGAUAGGCCAUGUGAAUGGUGUUGUGCACUAUGUUGAGCUGAGUUGCCGCCUUAAUCAUGUGAAAGAUGUACGGAGCACAAUGGCAUGCACUAGAUGAAUCAGAUGAACAAGCAAUGAUCUCAUGCCAAAUAAACUCCAUGACAGCAAACUUGGGACGAUCGGGGGCCAUUUGAGCUAGUGGGUUCUUGGCUCGAGAGGAUAUUUUAUCUGGGUCACCACCUCUAGGAGUGAGAGUGAACCUAAAGAGAGUGUUGAGCAUCUUGUAAUAAGGAGUGAGCCCCUUGAUUUGCCGAUACACUAUAUCUCCAUAAGCUCUAUCAUACAUGAAGUGCAUCUUGGAGGGCUCAAGUUCAUUGCCUUCAUGCAAGUCAACCUUGGAGUUGUCACGACCCACAAUGUAGCCACCCCCAUAAACUGUAGAGUCUCCAGUGUGACCAAAUAAGAUACUAAACUGAGCCAUGUUGUAUCUGAAUCGCUUUCCUCCGAUUGACCAAUGAAUAGUUCGCUCAUCUUGCUCAACAAAUAGUGUGGCAUAGAAUUGAGCCACAACCUCUUCAUUCCAAUCACAUCUGAAACUCAUGAUCUCCACAAGAUCCAUCUAACUGCAGCGAUCAUACACAGCCUCAACUACUUCCUUAACCGGUGACGACAACCUCUUCAAGUGAUCCCAAUCAAUCCACCUCAUCUUAGUGGUAUCGUGCUUCUUGGUCAUGAUAACUAAUUCAUACCAAUCAGCUUGAUGAGGAAACCAAAAGUGAACACCUCCAAAGAAACUGCACUCAACAUGUCUAGGAUCUUCACUAUAUCGAAGCGUUGAGAUAGUGUUGCCACCAUUGAGGGAUCAUGGGGGCCACGAGUUGGACGCAUGAUACUAACAAGCAUGGUUUCUAGAUAUGAAAGAUCAAUAUCAUCAUCAUACUCAUCUGUUGGACGGCUAAUACCUGCUUGCUUCAUUCUGGGAUGACCACUAGAACUUCCUGCAGCCGUCGAGCCUCUCCCUUGAGGAAUUUGUGCACCACGUCCUCUUACAUUCCUCCGAGGGAUGGUUUUCUUUCUUGUCUUUUCUUUAACGUACACCUCUCCAUUGGAACCGGUUUCAUACUCCGUUGAUUCGGAGUCGGUGGGAGGACCCUUCUUCUUGGUCACCUUUUCCCUCACCAUCUAGAUCAAAAGAUUAACAAGAAUUUAGGAUAUGUAUCGAGAGAAUGAUAUGAAUUCAUGAGCUCGUUGUGCAUCUCAGGGAGGACGGAUGAUCUGGCCCUAGCUCGGAUGAUCCGGUAGCUGGAUCAUCCGGCCCACCAUCGGGUCAUCCGGCCCUGCUCGGGGAUGAACUCCAAAUUCGUGAAUCCAAACUCUAGGCAUGAUCUCUAGAUGGGUAAAGAAGAUGAUUCACCGGAGGAAAUCGCCUAAGACAUCCUACAUUGACAGAUCGGGGCGAGAGGAUUUUGAAAGAAAUACCUUCAAGUUUCCCGCGUGAUUUGAAACAAAGUUCCAGAGUAAUGCCGGAUCUUCCGAUGCGGAGGAAGCAAGGCACAAGAGGGCACGAAGAAAUCUUGGUUGGGUCAAAAAAUCGCCGUGCAAGUUUUGGAGAGAAAAGGGGCCAGCGGAUGAAAGAAGAGGUGAUCUCUAGGGUUCCAAAUGGUCGGUUCCUUAUAUAGAUGAAGUGCCAGGGCCGGAUCAUUCGGUGUAAGGCUGGAUGAUCCUACAGCUAACAGAGAUACACGACUGGAGAGGUCGGAUCAUCCGGUGUAGGGCCGGAUGAUCCGGUAUGUAACAGAGGCAACCCGGACGAAGGGGCCGGAUCAUCCAGUAUAGGGUCGGAUGAUCCGACGGUCGACAGAAGAUAACAGAAUAGAGAGUCGGAUGAUCCGGUGUAGGGCCGGAUGAUCCGACUUCCACCAGAGAUAAAAGCCUAGGUGAUGUUGAUUUGAGGAAUUUGAUCCGAAGAAGAUGAUUGGAAGUAUGGACAUAUAAGACCCUUGACUUAAAAUGAUCAGCCACAUUCAUCAUUACAUAACUAUGAUCAUUUGAGCCAAGGAAAGAUCCAAAGAUCUCAACACCAAAGAUUUUUGAAAAACUCACACAAAAGAAUUUUUCUUAGUGUAAGCAUCAAUACAAGGUGUAUACAACAAGUCAAGCCAAGUUAUGAGAAUCCAAUAUAUUUAGCUCACUUCUCAAAGAACAAAACCUUUGCUCAUCGAGAGGCUUUGUGAAAAUAUCGGCUAGUUAUUUUUCGGUUCCUACAUGACUUAGUGCGAUAUCUCCUUUGGCUUCGUGGUCUCUAAGGAAAUGGUGUCUUAUGUCAAUAUGCCUGGUUCUUGAGUGUUGGACCGGGUUGUUGGCUAGUUUAAUGGCACUCUCAUUGUCACACAAGAGAGGAAUCUUUUUGUACUCACAACCGAAAUCACUCAAGGUUUGCCUCAUCCAAAGCAGUUGAGCACAACAAGCACCGGCUGCAACAUACUCGGCCUCGACGGUGGAUAGCACAAUGGAAUUUUGUUUCUUAGAACUCCAAGACACCAAGGACCGACCAAGAAAUUGGCAAGUCCCUGUUGUACUCUUUCGAUCUACCUUGCAACCGGCAUAAUCCGAAACAGAGUAGCCAAGUAGGUCAAAAGUGGAGCCCUUGGGACACCAUAAGCCAAGGUUUGGAGUAUGUACUAAAUAUCUAAAGAUACUUUUAAUAGCCACUAAAUGACAUUCCUUAGGAUUGGCUUGAAAUCUUGCACACAUGCACACACUAAGCAUAAUAUCUGGCCUAGAUGCACAAAGGUAAAGAAGAGAUCCAAUCAUGGAGCAAUAUACCUUUUGAUCGACCGGUUUUCCAUCUUCAUUGAGAUCAAGUUGUCCAUUUAUAGCCAUAGGAGUCUUGAUGGGCUUAACAUUUGCCAUGUCAAACUUCAUGAGCAUAUCACUUGUAUACUUGGUUUGACAUAAGAAAGUUCCGUUCUUCAAUUGCUUGAUUUGAAAACCAAGAAAGAACUUCAAUUCACCCAUCAUGGAUAUCUCAAACCUAUUUUUCAUGAUCCUACUAAAUUCUUCACAAAACUUCUUAUUAUUAGAAUCAAAGAUAAUAUCAUCAACAUAAAUUUGGCAAACAAAUAAGUCCUUAUCUACUUUUUGAAUGAAGAGAGUAGAAUCAGCUUUGCCCAUUUCAAAGCCAUUCUUAAGAAGAAAUUUCUUAAAGCAUUCAUACCAUGCUCUUGGAGCUUGCUUGAGCCCAUAGAGCGCCUUAUGGAGCUUGUACACAUAAUCGGGAAAUUGAGGAUCUUCAAAGCCCGGAGGUUGCUCUACAUAUACCAACUCGGAGCGAGGUCCAUUUAAGAAUGCACUCUUUACAUCCAUUUGAUAUAGCUUGAAGUCAUGAUGGGCGGCAUAGGCUAGAAGAAUACGAAUGGACUCAAGCCUAGCCACCGGAGCAUAAGUCUCACCAAAGUCUAGACGUUCAAUUUGAGUAAAACCUUUAGCAACUAAUCUAGUCUUGUUUCUUGUGACAAUGCCAUGCUCAUCUUGCUUGUUCCGGAAAACCUACUUUGUACCAAUUACAUUUUGCUUGGGCCUUGGAACCAACUCCCAAACUUCAUUUCUUGUAAAGUUAUUCAGCUCUUCUUGCAUUGCAAUGACCCAAUCCGCAUCACCAAGAGCAUCUUCUACCUUAAGAGGUUCCAAAGAGGAAACAAACGAGUAACAUGCACAAAACUUUACUAAACGUGAAUGAGUGGUUACCCCUCUUCGAAUACUCCCAUGGAUAUUAUCAAUAGGAUGAUCCCGUUGAAUACUUUGAUGAACUCUUGGGUGAGGGAAUAUUGAUUGGCGUUGAAUAGGCUCAUCAUCAUCGCCCUCAUCAUGAGAACCAUCAACUUGAGCCUCUUCACCACUAGCUCCCCCUUGAUCAUUGCCACGAUCAUGAUCGUCACCAUGAGUUUGAUCUUGAUCUUGAGAAGACCUUGGUGGUUUGACUCGUGUUGAUGAUGAUGAAUUAAGAUUAGGAUAAACAUUCGGAGCUUGGGUUUCCGCUUGCUCUUCUUCUUGAUCUUCAUGAGGUCUUACUUCUCCUAGACCCAUCUUCAAGAUGGAUUGGUUUGGAGGCUCUUCAUUACCUACAAGGUCAUUUUCAACUUGCUCUACUUGAGAGCCAUUUGAUUCAUCAAAUUUCACAUCUACCGUGACCUCAACACACCCGGAGGUUUUGUUGAAGACAUGAUAGGCAUGUUCGUUAGUACCAUAACCAAGUAGAAAACCUUCAUCGGCCUUAGGUGCAAACUUAGAACUUUUGGUUUUCUUGUUAAGAAUAUAACACUUGCAACCAAAGACUCUAAAGUAAUGCACCUUUGGCUUAUUUCCGGUGAGGAUCUCAUAUGGAGUCUUGCCCAAGUACUAUUGAAGAUAGAGAUGAUUCACGGCAUGGAAAGCUGUAUUAAUUGCUUCGGCUCAAAAUGAAUCCGGAGUCUUGUAUUCAUCAAGCAUAGUUCUAGCCAUCUCAAUAAGAGUUCUAUUCUUCCUUUCAACAAUGCCAUUUUGUUGAAGAGUAUAAGGAGCUGAGAGCUCAUGCUUGAUCCCUUCUUCAUCAAGAUAUUCCUCCACAUUGAGAUUCCGAAACUCUGAACCAUUAUCACUUCUAAUAUUCUUAAUCUUCAAUUCAAACUCAUUUUGUGCUUUUCUAAUGAACUUUUUGAUAACCCUUUGAGCUUCACUUUUAUCUUGCAAGAAGUAUACCCAAGUGUAUCUAGAGAAGUCAUCCACAAUCACAAGACCAUAUUUAUUCCCACCAAUACUAACAUAAGCAAUUGGACCAAAUAAAUCUAUAUGAAGUAGUUUCAAAGGUCUUGAACUAGUCAAUAUGUUCUUGGGUGGAUGAGGAGCACCAACUUGUUUCCCGGCUUGGCAAGCACUACAUAACCUGUCGUUCUCAAAAGUAACAUUUGUUAGUCCUAGGAUGUGCUCACCCUUUUGAAGUUUGGCCAAGUUCCUCAUGCCAACAUGGGCAAGCCGGCAAUGCCAAAACCAACCCAAGUUAGAUUUUGCCACUAAACAUGUCUUAGGUUCCACUUUAGUAGUUGUGAAAUCAACUAAAUAAAGUUUUCCCUUUAAACGGCCUGUAAAAGCAAUAGAGGAAUCCUCCCUUCUCAAGAUGGUCACACCCUCAUUAGUAAAGAGACAAUUGUAGCCUUUCUCAUAAAGUUGUGAAACAGACAACAAAUUGUACCCCAAAGUAUCAACUAAAUAAACAUUAGUAAGCGAUGAAUCUUUUGAGAUAAGGAUAUCACCUUGACCAACAACAUCACCAUAAUUAUUAUCGCCAAACAUGAUUCUCUCAAUAGACGAGUCAUAUUCUUCAAGAUUAGUAAACAUUUUCUUCUCUCCGGUCAUAUGAUUUGAACAACCGCUAUCUAGCAACCAUGUAGGACCACCGGAGGAAUAUGCCUACAAAACAAAUCAAAUCUUGAUUUUAGGUACCCAAAUGAGGUUGGGUCCUUGAGGGUUAGACCGAGACAUCUUGGGCACCCAAACACUUCUCAUCCUUUUCUUGGCAUGAGCGACAACAUACUUGACCACCAUCUUCCCAUUUUGAUCCCACAUGACCGUGUAAUCAAUUGUGUAGUUGGAAGACGGUUUGCGCUCAAUGAUCUUCUCUUUUUCCUUGAGAUUGGUUGAGUCCUUGGCAACCUUGCUAAGAAUCUUAACCAAGGGCUUUGCUUCAAUGUUGUUCACCCUUGACGCACCAUGAGCAAUGUUCAUCAACUCUCCAAGAUUAGUGCCUCUCUUGAACAAAGGCACCUCAUAUCCAUUUAUUUUUCUUGUGCCAUUUGACCUUCCACCUCGUGUGAAUCCGAGUCCAUCCUUAAUACUAGGAUAUUUCUCGGCCUUAUAUGCCAGAUGUGACUCGAAUACACUCUUACCUUUGGCUUUACUCAUGUCAACCAACUUGUUCAAAUCCCUAAUUUGAGCAUCUUUCGCUUUGAGUUUUUCUUCUAGCUUAACAAGGUUAGUUACACAAGAUUUGAUAUCAAUUGAAUAACAUCUUGAGCAACCUUCACUAGUGGAGAUAUUUGGACCAUGAGUUGUUUUGGAGUUGGUUUUGGCAUUUUUCAAAAGAGUAUCAAAGUUAGCUUCAAGAUCUUUAUAUUUGACCUCUAGCUUGAAUGCCUUUCUUGAAGCUCACUAUAUGCAUUCUUUAGAUUAAGAAAAGAGUCAUUAAUCAAAGAUGAUUCCUUAGACAUCCUCUUAAGUGAGUCAUUGGCACUUGACAAGUCAAGUGUCAAUUUAUCAACCUUCACCUUUUCCUCAACUAGAGUUUUCUUAAGGGCAAGGUUUCUUUCCUUUUCAAGGAUAAGCAAGUCUUCUUGCCUCUCGAGAGUAUCUUUUCUCUUUUCCAAUUUCUCCAUUAGUUUUUUAAUUUGUUUAUAGCCCUUUUUGCCAAACUCAUUUAUCAUGUUUCUUUCUAGUUCGGCCUCCUCUUCAUCUAGGUUAUUUUCUAUGUCACUAGAUGUUGAGGGAGUAGAUGAUGGAGGAGCGGAAGCAUUUAAUACCUUGGUCCCUUGAGCCAUAAGGCAAAUGGGAAAUUCAUCAUCACUUUUGGAGUAGUUGUUGAAGAGUCUUUGAGUUGGUAUAGGGGCUUGAAUAGCAAGAGUUGCUACUUCUUCUUUGUCGGAAUCAUCACUUGACUCCCAACCUUCACCAACAUGAGCAUUGCCAUGUUUUUUCUUAUAUUCCUUGCUCUUCUUCUUGUACUUCUUCUCUUUAUCAUGGUACUUGUCUUUUGACUUAUUGUCCUCCUUGUCAUUUUUCUUGUGAGGACAAUCGGCGAUGUAGUGACCUUUCUCACCGCACUCAUAACAUCUAAUUUGGUGAACCGGCUUCUUGUCACCUCUUCUCUUCAUGAACUUCUUGAAGUUCUUCACCAUCAUGGCGGUCUCUUCAUCAGUGCUAUCAUUGUCACUUGAAUCUUUCUUCUUCUUUGACUUUGAGGUCUUCUCUUUUGACUCAUUCUUCUUGCUUGGUUCGGCCUUUAGAGCAAUUACCUUGACUUCACUUUGUUCAAUUGAUUUGGACACAUCCAAGUUGUUCAUCUCAUGGAAUUGCAACUUGUUGAACAACUCCAUGGGUAGCAUAUGCUUAAAUUUUCUCUUGUCUCUAAUCAUGGUUGCAAGUAUUGGAUUCUUCGAAGCAUAUGCUCUAAGCAUUUUCUUGGUGACUUUGUGCUCAUCCCAAUCCUUACAACCAAGCAUCCUUAUCUCGGUCACAAGAAGCUUCAAGCGAUCAUGCAUUUCUUUAAGACUUUCAUCCUUCUUCAUGACAAAGGAUUCAAGUUCCCCUUGAAGAACAUGCAUCUUUCCCUCCUUGACCACAUCCGUUCCUUCAUGAGACAAUUGGAGUGUAUCCCAAAUGUCCUUUGCAAUUUCAAGCCCUCUUAUCUUGUUGUAUUCAUAUGAGCUUAGAGAGCUUCGAAGAACCAUCACGGCUUGAGCAUUUCGGAAGAAGUCAUGUUCUUGCUCUUUUGUGUGAGGGGGCUUGGCAUUAAUGUCCAUACCUACAACCACAAUAGUCCAAAGAGAGGGAUGAAGACCAUAUAAGUACAUUUUCAUAUCAUCGCUCCAACGAGCAUAGUCUCUCCCAUCAAAGUGAGGAACUUUUCCCAUUGGAACCCAUGUAAAAGCAAGGUUAGCGGGAUCAAGAGUUUUAUGAGAGGAAGAAGUCUCAUAUGAAUGAGACACCGCGUGAAGUCCUGCAAGGAUUUCUUUCUCCUUCAACUUUUUCUUGAGAAGCUUUUGUGCUUUCUUCUCGGCUUGUUCAGCAAUCUUCUUUCUUAUCUUCUCACUUCGUUUCUUCUUCUUCUCCACUUCCUCCAAGCUCCCAUCAACAUCGCUUAUAGUGAAGUCGUCAUCAUCAUCUGAGCAUGAUUCCACAACCACAUGUUCUUUCUCGAAGGAUGCACCAAUACCGGAGUUAUCACCGAUCCCGGGCAUAGUGUGUUUCCCUUAGCGGUUAAGACUUAAUCAAGGGAUUAGGCUCUGAUACCAAUUGAAAGGACCAACGCUAGGCCUAGAGGGGGGGUGAAUAGGCCUUUUCAAAUUUUUCCUGAAAAUCUUGGCAGAAAAACGUCAGCAGCCGGAUGAUCCGGCUCAAGGUCGGAUCUUCCGGGUUCCGGAUGAUCUAGCACAGGGUCGGAUCUUCCGGGCGGCGGAUGAUCCGGCCUAAGGUCGGAUCUUCCAGCUGGGAGAAAAUAACCAACAACUAAAUUCAAAAUAUACUUAACUUUUGACGAUAACCUUUGAAUACAAAGGUGGUAAAAGGUAUUGCAAAGUCUAUGCAGGAAUCCAAUAUAUGAGAUCUACACCUAUCUAGUAGAUCGGGUUGAAACAAGCUCAAGAAUGAUAUGAACAACAAUAAGUAAAUGGAGGCACAAGAUUUAAUCCGAAGUUCACUCCACAAAGAAGCUACGUCUCCGUUGAGAUGCUCACAAAGAGCCGGACUGUCACUAGCCCCAAGUCUCUCAUAAUCAACCACAAAGGAGGAUUGAGUUACUUACUAUUGAUCUCACAAAGAGAGGGGUAAUACAAACUUUCGGGAGCUCAAACCACAAAGGAAUGGGAGCUUACCGGCACCUCUAACCGUCUAGGAGCAGGGCUCCAAGAGUAACAAACGCAAAUCGACGAAUCAAAGGAUGCUUCAAGUGCUUCUUGAGAUGAACAAGUGAAAGCCCACGAAGUGCUCUCUUUCCACACCCCAAAUCUCACUCCCUCUCAAUCCCUAGGUGAAUCCUUGCAAGAAUCAAGCUCUUGGAUGGAGGGGAGGGUUGAAAUGAAUGCUGUGGAGGUGUGUUAGGUCGUGGGAAGUAGUAGCAGUGAAUGAGGGGGGUGAAAGGGUAUAAAUACCCCACCUACCUCAAGUGACCAUUAUGUGUAUUUCUGAGGGGUACCGGAACAUCCGGUGUUAGUCCGGAUCAUCCGAGCAACCAACAGAAUAGGUCAAAAUACGCUACACAACUCCCAUGGCCGGAUCAUCCGGCCUAGGGUCGGAUCAUCCAACCUAGCACACAAGGAAACAGCCAGGCAGACCGGAUCAUCCGGCCUGGGGCAGAGGAAAAUUUUCUGGCAGGCCGGAUCAUCCGGCCUAGGGCCAGAUCAUCUGUCCCAGAUGAAUUUAGAAGGUAGAUUUUCUCAAGAAAGAAUUUCAUCUCAAACUGAAGCAUUUUGACAACCUGGAUCAAUCGACAGCAUCCCCCUUUAUAGUACGGUGGUCCUAUAGUCAAAUUCAAAACGAAAAUCUGAAUUAAAUCACCAGUGAACUCCACCACCAUACAUAUUUGAAUUGGGGAUCUUCUUUUCAUCUUCUUCUCAAUUCUUUCAUUUUAUUCCAGCACACAACUUCAUCAAAGCAUCAUAUCCCAAAUUGUGAUUGUCAAGAAUCACCAAAAUCAAUUAGGGGCCUAGAUGCACUUUCACCAUCCAAUGGUUAGCAUUGAUCCUCUUUGUGUUUCUUUGCAUGUAGGUGCAGGUCCAACCUUGCAUGAUCAGCCCAUCUUCGAGUGGCCACUUCGGGAGCCCAUUUGAGGGAGCAUAUGUGGCCUUUCGGCCUUAGCUUCGCUUUGUGCAGGUCUCCCUAGUGUUUGGGGGUCCAUUGGUGAGUCCCCAAGGGCAUGAUGAUCAGUGGGACUUGUUUUGGGGAUGUGUAGGUCCGGUCAGCUUGGCAAGGCCGUGUCAGUGAUUUUCCCGGAGGCAUAACUUUCCGUCCGGACUCCAAAUUUGGUGAUCCAAGUGUCCAUUUCGAUCAUCUCAAAGAGAUCUUCAAUAUGGUGCAGUCAAAUGUGUGAUUUGAGUAACCUUUUCAUCUUUUCCAAGUAUCCUUUUGUGUUGAAAUGUCUGAAUGAACGUUCGUUCAUAUGGCCUGAACUGCUACUUCACCAAUUAUGGUAUUUGUGCAUCAUAUUACCUAUAUUCCUUGCAAAACAUGUUGGGACACAAAACUCGUGGAACUCAAUAGUAUAAAUAAAACUUUAUAUCAGCACUAGUUCAAGUUCCAUCAUUAUUUGCAAUGGUUGGCGGCCACAAUGGUGUAUAAUGGCCGUCAAUAGUGGGCGAUGCCUCGGCCCGGUACUAAAGAGCCAAAUUCCGAUUUCUUUUAUAUCUUGUAUUAUAGGUGUUUUAGAUGUUUUUUAUGUGUAAUAAAUUAACUAAAGGCAUAAAAAUACAAAUAUAUAAUAUUUUGAGCAUGCAAAAUUAUAGUAGUGUAUAGUUUACAUCACUUGGUCACAUGACAUAUAGUUCUAUACACUUAAUUCAACAUAUUGAUUCCAAAUUGCCUUCUGUAGGUGUUUUAAAUAUUUUUUGCGUGUAAUUGUUGUCGGUCAAAAUCCAUUGGCGAGCAGCGACAGGCAACACGAGGAGCCGGGAGGCUCCCGGGACUGCUGGUGGGCCCCGAUCCCUCGGUCAAUGGCCCGAGAUCCGGCACACGACCUGGCGUCCGGUUUGCUAGGCGUGCCACCUGACCUUAGACCUGAUCAGGAAGGUGUGGAAGUGAUUUAUGUUAGUUUCCUGCAUGCACAGACACGUGUAAACAUUAGUCCAAGCCAUGAUAAGCUCAUCGGGUUAUUCCUGAUAUCGGCUGUAAAGAGCCGAUUGUGUCCAGUAUCAGAUCAGAUCUAAGUAUUUGAAUAAAGCAAGCAUAUCCGAUGGUAAUGUAAAACUUGCUCUAUAACCAUUAAGCUAAUCCAAUCUAUGAUGGUUAAAGCUUUCAUUGCAUAGCCAGAACAUCCUACACGUAAUUGAGUCUAACAGAUACGGAAGGUAAUAGAAUAACAACCUAAAUAGAGGCCUAAAAACCAACAGAGAGCCAAUUCUCGGAACAAUCCCUCUUUAGGUUGAUACAAAGCAUCAAGCAUACCGCCGGAAUGUUCAACCCGUUUGAAGGGCCUAAUCAUGCAGAUAUUAAGCUAACUCUUCGAUAAACAAAGACUAACCAUAACAGAUUGGAUCUACUAAACAAAAAUAGAGUAAGGUGCUGCCCUUACAACCGAGAUCGGGCACGAGGACAGCUAAACGUUUACAGAUAACAGACGAUGCACGAAAAAAGCAUGAAAGAGCCGAUGCUACUCUAUAAACACCAGGAUAACUAGUGUUACUCGCCAUCAACAACGCUUCACUACGAGAAACACAAAGGUAGAUAGGCAGGAACGAUGCUGCCCCGAUCACACGAGGCGUGAUCGAGGCUGCACGGCACUUACCCGAAAAACCCUAAAACAGGGGUGGCGAUGCACCGAGAGUUGUUGUGAAUGAUUGAUUGUUUGUCCUUUAUUCAUAAUCCAAGGUACAUAUUUAUAGUCCGGAGACUUGCCUUCCCUAACCAAUCCUAACUGAUCACGACACGAAUCCUGGCUAUCUCUAUCUAAACUAUUUUAAACCCACACACCUAUCUAGAUACAUGGCCAAUCCUGGCCUCAAACGCCCGCGUAGGGGCUGAUUCGCAAGCCCACUACAAUUAUCUUUCGAGCCCAUCUUGCUUCGCGGCCCACCUCCUGGUCUAGCUAAAUUAUGGCGAUAACAGUAAUAAAUUAAAUAUAGGUUCAAAAAUGCAAAUAUAUAACAUUUUGACCAGAUUGUCCAAAUAGUAUCGUUAUUCGAAAGAUACGACAACAUACAUUACGUAAAUCACCAAAUAGAAUAUAACGGUUACACAAAACUACUCAUCAUUAUUUAAUGGAACAUUGAUAAUCUUCCAUUUGACGAAGGUCCCUUGGUUGUGAUCAUGGCGUAAGUAAGGAGCGUCCUCUUUGGAUAAUAGGAUGCUGGGGUCAACAUUGACUGAGAAUGGAAGAAGGUCAUCAAACUGAUCAAAAUCUUCUGACUUGUCCGAAAUGUCCUCAAUUCCAAUUAUUUUUCUUUUUCUUAGAAGAACUAUGUGGCGUUUUGGCUCAUCGUUCUUGGAUUUGCUUGACAUGUCCUUCUUAGGCUUGCUUGACAUGUCCUUCACAUAGAACACCUAUGUCACAUCCUUGGCUAGGACGAAUUGUUCAUCUUUAUAUCCGAUCUUUUUGUAGUCCACUAUUGUAAUCCCAUACCGGUCUGUCAUCACGCCUCCUCCAGCUCGAUUCACCCAUUGGUAGCGAAACAAAGGAAUCUUCAAAGGUCCAUAGUCUAGUUCCCAUAUCUCCUCUAUGACACCAUAGUAGCUGCCCUUUUUUCCAUCAUUGUGUAUUGCAUCUAUACGCACACCACUAUUUUGGUUCGUGCUCUUUUCAUCUUGGGAUCUGGUGUAAAAUGUAUACCCAUUUAUUUCGUACCCUUGGUAUUGCAUGAUUGUGAUUGAUGGUCCCCUAGCCAACCAUUGAAGUUGUUCAUCAAUCGUGCCGCCACCCAUGAAUUUUCGUCUGAGCCAAACAGCAAAGGUAUCUAUGUGAUGAUGUGUGAUCCAGGUCUCAAACUUGCUCGGGUUUUCAGACCGUACAAUAUUCAUGUGCUCUUCCAUAUGUGGAGCCACCAGGGAUGAAUUCUGUAGAACUGUCAAGUUAGUUUUGCGGAUUUUAUUAUCUGUAUGCAUAUUAGAUUUCUUCCCUAGUGUGCCCUUUCCCUUCAGUCUCCCUUCGUGGCAUGACAUGGGGACCCCGAUCGUACUGAGAUCAUCAAUAAAGUCAACAAAAAACUCAAUGACCUCCUCUGUUCCAUAGCCCUUGGCGAUACAUCCUUCUGGACAAAAAUGAUUGCGAACUUACUUCUUUAGGACUGCCAUGUACCUCUUGAAAGGGAACAUAUUGUGUAGGAAUAUAGGCCUAGAAUAUUUAUCUCUUUCACAAUGUGAACGAGGAGAUGUGUCAUAAUAUUAAAGAACGAAGGUGGAAACACCAUCUCAAAGCUGACAAGACACUAGACCACAUCAUUCUAUAGCUUUAUGAGCUUAUUUGGAUCGAUUGCCUUCUGCGAAAUUUCAUUGAGGAAGGCACAUAGCUUCACGAUCGCCAAUCUUACAUUCUCCGGUAGAAUACCCCUAAGUGGAUCCGCAAGCAAUUGUGUGAUCAGGAUGUGACAGUCAUGAGACUCUAAGUUUGUCAACUUCUUCUCUUUCAUAUUUAUUCUUCCUUGUAUAUUCGAGGAGUAUCCGGACGGUACCUUCAUACUGUUCAAGCAACCAAACAUGCUUUUCUUCUCCUCUUUUCUUCAGGACGUAGGUCUUCUCGUUGUUUCAUUUCUUUCAGGUCACGCCUUGCUUUGAUUGUAUCUUUUGCCUUCCUAUACGUACCUAGGAAACCGAGCAGGUUCACACAAAGAUUCUUCCUCAGGUGCAUCACGUCGAUUGCCUUGCGGACCUCUAAUACUUCCCAAUAUGGUAGCUCCCACAAUAUAGACUUCUUCUUCCACAUUGGUGGAUGUCUGUUUUCGUCAUUCGGAACUUGUUGGCUGCCACGGCCCUUUCCAAACACUACAUGCACAUCCUUUAUCAUCGAGAAAACAUGCUUUCCACCACGGUACAUAGGCAUAGCACGAGUCGCCAUACCUCCAUUAUCGGUCCAUCUACAAUCGUACUAUCCACACCAUGGUGCACCGGUCACACAUUUUAAUAAGGAACUAUAAUCAAAGAUGCACAUUUUUAACUAUUGCAAUAACAUGAAUAAUUAAAAGGUCUGAAAUCUCCAUCACACAACAUGAAUAAUAAAUUAAGAGGUCCAGUAUUAAAAGGUCCAAAUAACCAUCACACAUCAUGACUGAUUAAAAGGUCUACGUUAUCAUUACACAUUAUCAAUUACACAAUAUGAUUAAUUAAAAGAUCCAAAAUUCCGAAUAACGUACAUGCUAAUACAAACUACUCAUGAAACCUAUUGACCGAUGCCUCGGGAAAUGCCUCAUGAACUCUCGAUACCGGAUGGUCAAUUUGUGCUAUCCCCGAAGCUUCGUGCCUUGCAUUACGUCGAGCCAUCAACUCGCGAUCAUCAUCCGUACCAUGCAACUCGACAUCUAAUUCAUGCUCAACAUUGCGCCUUGCAUUACAUAGGGCGAGGCAAUCAAAUGCUUUAUUAAUCCAAUGGCGAAAACGACUGCUAACAAGUUCAAGACGCUCUUCAGGGUGGAACUCAAGGGAAUGGCCGGUGCGCCUCAAAUGAUUGCAUACCGACGCCUGAGCAAAAGCACGGCGCUCCAAUGCCUCAUGUUGCAAAGCCAUUUCUACAUAUUAAACAUUAAUUACUCAUCAUGUUGGGUGAAGCCCUAAACUACAGUAUUUUCGAAAGUAAAACUAAUUUCACUACACUUAUCAAAUAAAUGUAAAUAAUAGAAUAUACUCAUACUCACUGGCUAUAUUCAAAUUACAUCUUUGCAUUCAUAUUCAACUUGACAUUUCACAUUCACUAUUUCUAAACCCUAAGUAUUUUGACACUCUUCAGUUUGAGGCGAACACUCAUCAACCCACAGCAUAUGGGAUGCAAUCAAGGUUCAAAACAUUUAUUCAGGCUCUACGUGAAAAAAACCAUCGAGAAGAAAGUAAAUCUUUGUUUAGGAACAUGUAUCUAUCGAUAACCUUGACCCUAUUGUGAUGACACUGCCAUUCCGGGCGAACAUUGAUAUCCGUGACACUGUGUGGUACAAAGACGUGAUGAAGGAGUACGGCCUUGGUCCGAAUGGUGGCAUCCUCACCUCGCUCAAAGGUGAGGAUUUCUUCAUUGGGAUCAAGACCGUACUCCAUCAUCACAUCCUUAUACCGUACCAUGUCGCGAAUAUCAUGUUGGCCCCGAAUGACAGUGUCAUCACGGUAUGGUAAAGGUUAACGAUAGAUACAUAUUCCGAAACAAAGAAUUAUUUUACAUCUCAAUGGUUUCAAUGGGAGCCUGAAUAAAUACAUCAUUAGAGUUUCAAAAUAAUUUCUUCACAAUAAAAAAUAAAAACCAAGUAUAUACAUUUUUUCACUUUGAAAAGUUAGAUAUUUCACAUUCACUAAUUAUAUAUUUCACUAGCUUCAUAGCAUAACAAUAAUGGUUGCCCUUGGAAAUACACGUGUCACUUGAAAUUAAUUGAAAACAAAUAUUGGCAUAAUGAUAUAUACACACAUUUCACUUGAAAUUAAUUGGAAAAAGUCACUCUACAUUUCCCACAUGCAGACUAACCACAUUCAAAUUCUAGUCUUUGCUUCUAGCUAUAUAUCUCAAAUGAAUGUGCAAAUAUAUAAAAAAAACCAUACUCAUUCUCACUCAUUCUAAUAAUCACAAAUUUCUCUAAGUACAAAGCAUGAAACGAAGCAUAAAGACCAUCAAAGAAGAGAGGAUGAAGUUGCUAACCUUUUGAGCACUUGAAUGCGUGAAAUCCCCACCAAGCUUGAGAAAAAUGGGCAGCACCUCUUCUCUAAAAUACCAUGGGGAAGAAGAAGCCCGAGAUCCAAAUGAAUGGCUCAGGCUCGAGGAAGAAGAAAGGUGCUGAUAUAUAGAUGAAGUCACAUUAGUACCGGCUGGUGGCUCAAACUGGUACGAGAUCUCUCCAUUUAGUACCGGCUCAAGCCUCCAGCCGGUACUAAAUAUCCUCGGCACCAGUUAGUACCGGCUGUAGCCCCCAGGCGGUACUAAAGUGGCACUAGCCGUUGCCCUCUGGCGUUGGUGGCUCACUUUAGUACCAGUUGGAGGCUCCAGCCGGUACUAAAUGGCUCCCCGGGGCAAUGUUCUUUCGGCCCGGAACUAAAUGCAGGCGUUAGUACUGGCUCAAAAUGUAGCCGGUACUAACGCCAAGGACGAAUGCUCACUUCUCUGGUUAUGGGAAAUCACACCCCGUUUGAGGCUUGGAUGGGGAGAAAGCCGCACCUGGCACAUGUCCGUGUGUUUGGCUGUACAACACAUAUGAAGACACCGACACACUUGAAGAAAUUGAUGACCGGAGCCAUCAAUUCAUCUAUCUCGGUAUUGAAGAAGGAAGUAAUGCUCAUCAUCUAUAUGAUCCACGGCAUAGUAAAGUCCAUGUGAGUUGUGAUGUUAUCUUUGAAGAAAAUAUGGAAUGGAAUUGGUCUUCCACUGCAGAAAGUGAUGUUUCAUCUGAGUUCUUUGUGGUGGAAGAUAUAUAUACUGCUACUGGAGUAGCAGACAUGGGAGAGAUGGCCGGUGUGUCGGCACCCGUGGCUGAGUCCUGCCCAGCUACACCAAUUCCAGCAGUGCCAACGGAUAGGGGGAUUGGGUCUACAAGCAUGACGUCUCACCACCAGGGCCUCCGAUUAUUUCGUCGGCCUUAUCAGGCCCUGGAUCAUAGGCAGGAGAGCCUGCCACACCGGUUGGAAAUCUGUCCACGCCACAAUCUGUUGGCACUAAUGGUAGUGGUGAUGGGCCUAUUCGGUACAGGCUCCUUGAUGACAUCAUACGCAAUGGACCCCGUGCGAUACUCAGAAAUGAGGAAGCCAAUGAUGAGGCAUUUCUUGCAGAGAUUGAGGAGCCAUUGGGCUAUCACCAGGCUGUAGGAUAGCCAGCUUGGGAGGAUGCCAUGGGUAAAGAAAUUGAAGCUAUUGAGAAGAAUGCAACAUGGUCGCUCACCAUAUUGCCAGCUAGACACAAGGCGAUUGGGCUCAAGUGGGUAUACAAGCCUAAGAAGAACUCAGAUGGUGAGGUGAUCAAAUAUAAGGCCCGUUUGGUGGCCAAAGGUUAUGUCCAACAGGAGGGCAUUGAUUUUGAUGAAGUAUUUGCUCUGGUUGCUCACCUCGACACUGUGCGUGCUAUCCUUGCCCUCGCUGCUAAGCAAGGGUGGCAGGUUCACCACCUCGAUGUCAAGUCUACAUUUCUUAAUGGCGAGCUUGAGGAGGUGGUCUAUGUGGCCCAGCUGGAGGGGUUCACUGUUAAAGACAAGGAGCACUUAGUGCUCAAGCUAAACAAAGCUCUCUAUGGGCUUCGGCAGGCGCUGCGCGCAUGGAACAUGUGGCUUCAUAGAAGUUUGAAACAAUUUGGUUUCACAAGAUGUGCACAGGAGCAAGCUGUGUACACAAGGGGUAAGGCUAACACCAUAAUUAUCGUUGGUGUUUAUGUUGAUGAUCUGAUAGUUACUGGGAAAGAUCCAGUGGCCAUCACAGCUUUCAAGCAGCAGAUGAUGGGGGAGUUUGAGAUGAGUGAUCUUGGCUUUCUCACUUACUACCUUGGUAUUGAGGUGGGGCAGCAGAAAGCAGGAAUCACCAUCAAGCAGAGUGCUUAUGCAAGGAUUGUGCUUUAUCAAUUUGGCAUGGUUGGUUGCAACCUGUGAAAAUCCCCAUGGAGUAGAAGCCGCAGCUACACAAGGAUGGUGAUGGAGGAUGGUGAUGGAGAACCUGUUGACGCCACUGAAUAUCGACGGAUAAUUGGUUGCCUACGUUAUCUCCUUCACACUAGGCCGGAUUUCUCUUUUGCUAUUGGGGUAGCAAGCAGAUUCGUGGAGCGGCCCACUAUCAUGCAUCUUAAGGCAGUAAAGCAUAUUUUGUGCUACCUCAAAGGGACAAUUGAUUUUGGUUUGGUGUAUGGAAAAGGAAGAGGAGAAGAGGUGAUCACCGGAUUUAUAGAUAAUGAUCUGGCUGGUGACCUGGAUGAUAGGAAAAGCACAAGUGGCAUUACAUUCUAUGUCAAUGAUUGCUUUGUCUCCUGGAACUCACAGAAGCAAAAGACAGUGGCAUUAUCUGUUGGUGAUAUGCCCAAAAGGCAAUCAUGCGUGGGCUGGAUAUUGAUCCAAGAAGGAUUAGAACCCUAAUGGGCCUCCGGUGUGAUAGCCUAUUAGUGGGGUCUAUAUAAUGAAGGGCGGAGCUGUGGGUGGCCAAUGCUCUUGCACCACAAACCCUCAUCGCCUCUCUUCUCCAUGAAACCCUAGCCGAGCACGCGAUGCUAGCACACCAGUGAGCGGCAUUCCCGCCCCGUACCUGUGGACUUCGAGGAGGCGCUGCUGCGUUGCUGUGGUGUUGAUUGGCAGGACAAGGAGGGGGAGAUGCAAGCUGCGAUCUGCUUCCUCUUCACCAACGCGCGAUUACGCUGGGCCGAGCUACCCCAACUCUACUUUUGCUGCGCUGCGCGUCUAGUGGUAAUGAUCCAUGAUCACCCGCUUACAUGAGAUCCUUGUUGAAGGCGGUAGAAUUAUGAAUUUGCGCUAGCGUAGUGUUCCUGUUUCCUUACAGUGGUAUCAGAGCGAUCAUGCUUAGCCUUUGGUCUAGAUGCGCAUAUAGAGAUAUGUUUUGUUUAGAAUUUUGCAAUCUGUUCAUAUGUGAUGUAUAUAUUGAUGCACGGUGUGGGAUCGGUACGAGUUGAUAGCAUCACGAUGACUGUAGAUUGGUUUGUGUUCUUUCUGUACUGUGCGCACGACAUACCCAUACCGUCCGGAAUCACCAUCUGGCUAACUGUGUAAACGAGAAGAAGUUGAACCGAUGUAUCUAAGUCAUGUGUUGUGGUCAUCUCCGAUGUACUUGUCGUGAUGUCAAUGUGAUUGGUCUAGUGAAAAUAAGGGGCAUUAUGAAUGACCCUUAAUCGGCUUGAUUAGAUCAACCCGAUGAGAUUUUCAUAGCAACUCUAUAGAUACGGGACCGCCGUUGCAAUCUGUUGAUAGCGGCUUCUUCAUAACCCUACGGUAGAAUACGUUUUGCGCCUAACUCAUUUUUGCAGGGUAUGAUGUGAAUGGUAUGGCCUCAAUAUCAUAUGGUGAUCUAUGUGUAAUAAGUUGUGUGAUCUGUGUGUCACCAGUUAAAAUGACCGGGUUGAGGUUGUCCCAUUAUUGUAUAAUGGCCUGCGUGUCGACAUGUGAUGCUUGAUCCCCUCAUGUAAUUUACUUUACUAGUGCUAUUAGAUGUAUUAGCUUAGUAUUUAUCCUUGGAGGCUUCAAGCAUGAUGGCGAUGAUGAUCACCACAAGAUAGGAAUGAUGGCAAUGAAGGUCACCGUGGAGUCAUGGCGAUGGAGCCCAUUGUGAUGCAAAAGGCCAUACUGUUCACAAUAUAAUAUGAUUAUAUGCAUGUGAUGUUUAUUUACCUAUCAUACUAUUCUUUCAUGUCUUUCAUAUGGUCGAUAUGCUUUUAGUUAUGAUAGAAUAGCUUCCCUCAUUAAAGUUGAGAACUUUGAUAUCCUUUUCCAAUAGCUGCACCUAUUAAAAUUUUGAUCGUUGUGUGGUAGGUUUACCAAAGUAGAGUACCAUCAACUAUCAUCAUAAAUAGGGUGGGUGUCGGACAUUUACUAGUAUAGUAUUGGUUUACUCAACAAAGCUAUCAAAAUAGUUUUGGGCUUUAGGAUAUGGAGUUGGACCUGGGGCAUUGGAUGCCACCCAACAUACAAGAGUCAUAUAGAGAUAUGAUUAGCAAUUUGUUGUUUAGUUCAUUGGAUGUCACUAACUUUCUUGCAGUGAAGGCAAAGCUCACUAGGAUUUUAGUGAAUAUGGAUCUUGGUCUCCUAUAUGUCAUUAAAGGGAAGAAGAUGUUAAUAUAGUGAGAGUCUUUUAUUAAAUUUGUUAAUAGAAGCAUAACAUAGACUUAGAGAUAAAAUCUUGCUUUUAUUUUAAUGUUGUAGAUCAUGUCUACCAGUAACACUUCUACUUUCAAUUUGCGAUUUAUUCUUGAGAAAGUAAAGUUGAAUGGAACUAACUUUAUUGAUUGGUACCGCAACCUGAGAAUUGUUCUCAGGCAAGAGAAAAAACAGUAUGUUCUUGAGCAGCCAUACCCUGAUGAACUCCCUAGCGGAGCAACUAUUGCAGCUAGAAGAGCUUAUCAGAAGCACUGCAAUGACUCACUCGAUGUUAGCUGUCUCAUGCUUGCCACCAUGUCCCCUGAUUUGUAGAAGCAAUAUGAGCAUGCUGAUGCUCACUCCAUGAUUGAGGGGCUGCAUGGAAUGUUUGAGAACCAAGCUAGGACUAAGAGGUACAUCUCAAAGUCCUUGUUUGCAUGCAAGCUGGUAGGGGGUAGCCCGGUCAGUCCUCAUGUGAUCAAGAUGAUUGGUUACAUUAAGACUUUGGAGAAACUUGGUUCUGAAGUCAAGCCUGACCUGGCUAUUGAUGUCAUUCUCCAAUUGGUCCCGGCGAGCUAUGAGCCUUUUAUCAUUAACUUUCAGAUGAAUGGCAUGGAGAAAACAUUGGCUGAAUUGUAUGGGAUGCUAAAAAUAGCAAAGGAGAGCAUUAAGAAAAACCCCGCUCAUGUGAUGGUGGUUUAGAAAGAGAACAAAAAGUGGAAGCAUUGGAUGCCUCCUAAAGGCAAAGCUAAAGGAAAUGUUCCUAAUGAUUCCUCAAGGUCUAUGCAAAAUCCAAAGGCCAAAUCCGACCCUACUCCUAAUGAUGAAUGAUUCCAUUGCCAUGCUAAGGGGCAUUGGUCAAAAAAUGCAAGAAAUACUUGGAAGAUCUGAGGAAGAAGAAGGGAAGUGAGACAUCCGCCUCAGGUAUAAAUGUUAUAAAUAUUACAAAAAUUAAUAUUGCUAUAACUUCUAGUGAAUCAUGGGUAUUUGAUAUUGGGUCGAUGAUUCACACUUGCAAAUCAUUGCAGGGACUUCAAAGGAAGAGAAGAUUUUCAAAGGGCGAGUUGGAUGUUCAUGUUGGCAAUGGAGCAAAGGUUGCAGUCAUGGCGGUCAGUACUUGUCACUUAUCGUUUCCCUCAGGAUUAGCUUUGAGUAAGAACAUUAUUUCUUCUUCAUGUUUGGAAGAAGUUGAUGGUUAUGAGAUUGUAAUAAAGAACAAUUGUUGUUCAAUUUAUUAUAAUGAUAUUCUUUAUGCUCAUUGUCCAUUGGUGGAUGGAUUGUAUGUUCUUGAUCUUGAGGAUAAACCUGUUUAUAACAUUAAUGCAAAAAGGCUUCGACCAAAUGAUUUGAAUCCCACUUUUAUUUGGCAUUAUCUUUUAGGUCAUAUAAAUGAGAAGCGCAUAGAAAAACUCCAUAAAGAUGGUUUAUUAAGCUCAUUUGAUUUUGAAUCAUUUGACAUGUGCGAGUCUUGUUUACUUGGGGAGAUGACUAAAACGUCUUUCACUGGUCAAAGUGACAGGUCAAGUGACUUGUUGGGACUAGUACAUACCGAUGUAGGUGGACAGAUGAGCUCAACAGGCAGAGGUGGUUUUCAAUACUUCAUUACUUUUAAUGAUGACUUUAGUAGAUAUGGAUAUGUCUACUUAAUGAGGCACAAGUCUGAAUCGUUUGAAAAGUUCAAGGAACUUCAAAGUGAAUUUCAAAGUGAAAUACAGAAUCAAUUAGCCAAGACAAUUAAAUUUCAAUGAUCUGAUCGUGCGGGUAAAUAUUUGAGCCUUGAAUUUGGUGAUCAUCUAAAACAAUGUGAAAUUGUUCCACAAUUGACUCCGCCUGGAAGGCCUCAAUGGAAUGGGGUCUCCGAACAGAGGAGCUGAACCUUGUUAGACAUGGUUAGGUCGAUGAUGAGCCAAACUGAUCUUCCACUAUCAUUUUGGCGUUAUGCUCUAGAAACUGUCGCGUUCACACUGAACAGGGUUCCAACUAAGUAUGUGGAAAAGAUGCCAUAUGAGAUAUGGACUGGGAACCGUCCCGGCUUAUCUUUCCUCAAAGUUUGGGGAUGUGAGGCUUAUGUCAAACGUUUGAUGUCCGAUAAGCUCGAUCCAAAAUCAGACAAGUGUUUCUUUGUGGGAUAUCUGAGGGAAACCAAAGGAUAUUAUUUUUAUAAUCAAGCGGAAGGAAAAGUGUUUGUUGCCCGCAAUGGUGUCUUCUUAGAGAAAGAGUUUCUCUCAAAAGGAGUUAGUGGGAGCAAGGUGCAACUUGAAGAAAUUCGGGAUGUACCUGAAACGGUUUCAACCCCCACUGAACCUUCAUGGGAUGAACAAGGAGUUGUAGAACCCGUUGUUGAAGAACUAGCCCCACGAAGGUCUGUAAGGGCACGUCAUGCAACUGAAAAGUUCAUGCUCCUAACCAUGGGGCAGUGCGAUGUAUUGUUAUUGGAUAAUGAUGAGCAUAAGAUCUAUACGGAAGCAAUAAUGGGACCAUACUCUGAGAAAUGGCUUGGAGCCAUGAAAUCCGAAAUAGAAUCCUCGCACGACAAUCAAGUUUGGAACUUGGUUGAUCCCAUUGACGGUGUAAGACCUGUGGAGUGCAAGUGGAUUUUUAAGAAAAAGAUAGACAUGGAUGGAAAUGUUCAUAUCCAUAAAGCGCGAUUGGUGGUGAAAGGUUUUAAACAAAUUCAAGGUGUUAACUAUGAUGAAACAUUUUUGCUCGUCGCAAUGCUAAAAUCUAUUCAGAUUCUUCUAGCUUUUGCCGCAUUUUAUGACUAUGAGAUAUGGCAAAUGGAUGUCAAAAGGGCUUUCCUGAAUGAAAACCUUAGUGAGAAUGUGUAUAUGAUACAGCCUGAAGGUUUUAUCAAUCCUAAAAAUAUUGGAAAAACAUGCAAGCUUUAAAAGUCCAUUUAUGGGUUAAAGCAAGCAUCUCGGAGUUGGAAUAUUCAUUUUGAUGAAGUGGUCAAAGGGUUUGGCUUCAUCAAGAAUGAAGAAUUGCCUUGUGUUUACAAGAAGGCUAGUGGGAGCGCAGUUGUAUUUCUGGUCCUUUAUGUGGAUGACAUAUUGUUGAUCGGAAAUGACAUUCCAAUGUUGGAAGCCACUAAAUCUUCACUAAGAAAAAGUUUCUCAAUGAAGGAUUUAGGUGAGGCUGCAUAUAUUUUGGGCAUUAAGAUCUAUAGAGAUAGAUCGAAAAGGCUAAUUGGAUUAAGCCAAGAUACAUAUAUUGACAAGGUAUUGAAAAGGUUCAAUAUGCAGGAUUCAAAGAAGGGUUUUCUGCCAAUAUCACAUGGUGUCGGUCUUUGCAAGAGUCAGUGUCCCUCGACACCUGAUGAGCAAGAGAAGAUGAGUGCGAUUCCAUAUGCUUCGGCUAUUGGAUCCAUCAUGUAUGCCAUGCUUUGUACACGCCUUGAUAUAGCCUAUGCUCUAAGUGUUGCAAGGAGAUACCAAUCAAACCCAGUAGAGGCUCACUGGGUAGCAGCCAAAAAUAUCCUGAAGUACUUUAGAAAACCUAAGAAUAAGUUCCUAGUCUAUGGAGGGAGGAGGAGCUUGUUGUAAAUGGUUACAUCGGUUCUAGCUUCAAAACUGACAAGGACGACUUUAGAUCACAAUUUGGAUUUGUGUUCUGCCUCAAUGGAGGGGUAUUCAGCUGGAAAAGUUCUAAGCAAGAAACUGUAGCCGAUUCCAUGACGGAGGCCGAGUACAUAGCAGCUUCGGAAGCUGCAAAGGAGGCUGUUUGGAUCAGAAAGUUUGUUUCUGAGUUAGGUACUAUUCCAAGUGUGUCCAGUCCAGUGGACCUUUAUUGUGAUAAUAGCGGUGCCAUUGCACAAGCUAAGGAGCCUACAUCACACAAAAGUCCAAACACGUACUGCGGCGAUCUCACCUUAUCCGUGAGAUCAUUGAUAGAGGUGAUGUGAAGAUUUGCAAGGUGCACACAGAUUUAAACAUUGCUGAUCCGUUGAUGAAGGCCCUCUCACAACAGAAGCAUGAGGUGCAUAUGAGAUCCAUGGGUAUUAGAUAUUUGCAUGGAUGACUCUAGAGUGAGUGGGAGAUUAUUAUAAUCAUGUCUAAGUUUGUGUUUUAUUCAAUAAAGUAUUAUUUGUUCCCUGAAUGAUAAUUAUUUACAUUGAUUAACUAGUGCGUGACUUGUUUGUGAAACUCUCUUAUUUUAUUAUAUUGUUGUUCUAAACGAUCCCUAGUUUUGCCGUUAUGAGGAACAAUAAUGGUUUAUAAACUAGCACAUGUAUUAUUGAUGAUCAUGUUUCAAAGAUCAUAGAUAUGGAGAUGUUAAAUCAAUAAUGUGGAUACAUGUUAGAGAACAUGGUGUUGGAUUGACCCACCUCGAGACACUGCGGAGGUAGUUGUCUUAAAUGUGCCAUCAGUCGGUCUCGAGUGGUAUACCUGCUGAAUCCUUUGACCUGAGAUCGCCAUUGUUUCUCACUGUGCACAGUGGUGCACUUUGGGGCUGUCAAACACCACUCUGUAACUGGAUAGCUAUAAAAGUAGUCUUUGGGUGUAUCAUGAAACAUGGAAUGGGAUGUGAACGGAUCAAGAUGGAAUUUGCCCCUCCUAGAUAAUGGGAGAGAUAUCUUUGGGCCCCUCGAUGAGGUUGGAUUAAGAAAGUGCAUGGCCAUGCCAAAGUGAUUAGAGGGUUAAUCACAAAGUGACUAAAGAGUUAGUCAUAAAUUAUAAUCCGUUGCAAGAUUGAGUUAAGUGGUCGAGCUAUCAAAAGGGUGGCAGGAAACUUGCCUUGAGCUUGACUGGUAUCCUGAGGCAAAGGGAUUAGUGAAUGUGUAUAUCUAAAGGUUUUUGCCGAUACGAUCUUUAUGUGUGCGUGGGAGUCAGUACGCCCUACUAGGUGCCUCUACUGAUUAGUAGUGCAAGAAUGGUUCUUGCAGUACAACUACUCACACAUAACCUAACGGGUUGGAACAAAAACUUGCCUAUAUGAUUGUCUCUAGUGCAAGUGGGAGAUUUUUGGUGAUAUACCCAAGAGGCAAUCAUGCGUGGCCCGGAUAUUGAUCUAAAAAGGAUUAGAACCCUAAUGGGCGUUCGGCGUGACAGCCCUUUAGUGGGGUCUAUAUAAUGAGGGGCGGGGCUGUGGGCGGCCAAUGCUCUUGCACCACAAACCAUAGCUGCCGUCGCCUCUCUUCUCCACGAAACCCUAGCCAAGCACACGAUGCUAGAACACCGGUGACCAGCAUUCCCGCCCCGUACAUGUGGACUUCAAGGAGGAGUUGCUGCGUUGUUGUGUUGCUGAUCGGUGGGGCAAGUCGGAGGAGCUGCAAGCUACGAUCUGCUUCCUCUUCACCGAUGCGCGACUACAUUGGGGCGAGCUACCCCAACUCUACUUCCGCUGCGCUGCGCGUCUAGUGGUAAUGAUGCAUGAUCAUCCGCUUACAUAAGAUUCUUGUUGAACACGGUAGAAUUAUGAAUUCGCGCUACGGUAGCAUUCCUGUUUCUUUACAUUAUCAUCAUGUGAAGCUGAAUUCAUGGCGGCAACUGCAGCAGCAUGCCAGACACUCUGGGUCAGAAGUCUGCUGGCUGAGCUAGUGGGGCCGCAGCCAGCAGCCGUGACGAUGUUUGUUGACAAUAAGUCUGCGAUCGCGCUAAUGAAGAAUCCUAUAUUCCAUGGGUGCAGUAAACACAUUGACACAAAGUACCAUUUCAUCCGAGAAUGUGUUAAAGGACAGGUUGUCAUCGAGUUCGUGCGCACUGAUGAGCAGCGCGCGGACGCACUCACGAAGGCAUGUCAGCAGUGAAGUUGGCGACCAUGCGGCACCUGCUCGGUGUCCGUGAUCUUGAACUACACCAGGACCAAGGGGGAGAUUGUUGACGUUACUCCUGGUUGUGGCAUGGAAACGUUUCAAACUUGCAUGGAGGCAGUGGCUGGGAGACGUUUCAGCAGACAUUUCUGCAUGUUCUGAGUGCGUGCGUUUUUUUCUUAUCUGCAAUAAUAAUCGUGUGGUGGCAUGAUCCCUUCAUCUACUACUCUGGGUCGAUUUAUAGCAGAUGCUAGAACCUGUAUCAAAUUGAGUCGGUGUGUGAUUCCAAUAAACAAGAAGAGUGUCGUGCGUCUGUUUCUCACAUAUGUUGGGUGUGCCAUCCUAAGUUGUUGCCUACAAAUCCCAACGGGCGGCACCGGCGAACAACGCAGCGUCUCCUCGCUUUCUCUCGACUCUUCUUCUACUGUUGAAAGGGGACGAAAGGAGGGCGUAUCGUCUCCGGCGCCAAUCUCGUCUGCUCCCCCUCCCUUCCGGUGGCCUUUGGGACACCGGUGAGGAUGGGGAGCGGGUUGAGUGGCGGCUAGUGUAUAUAGCUAUUGCUGUCCCGCCAGUGAGGUCGCCGGCGUGGGUUGUAGUGCCUGGCUUCCUCUUCAACGAGAAGUCGAUGCUUGUCUUCCUUCGAGCCGUUCGCUUGGUGGAGGCGGCGUUGCUCCUGGGGAAUAAGGUCCUCCAGCUCGUCCACCUUGCCAGCGCGUACUCCGGUGCUGGCGGCGGGCUGGAUCUAGCGACUUGUAUAGUAGUCUGAGCUGGCUGCUUCGGCGGGUGGCGAAGUUGCAGGUUUUCUACUUCAAGGCUGUAGAGCAUGCUGUUGGGUUCGUGGAAGAAGAAAUCCCUCGGCGGCGGUGGUCGUCUACGGCGUGUACAGGUCCAGGAGCGGAAGAGUUUGGGGCGCGGCCCCAGUCGACGGCUUCAUCCUAUCCUUUGGGGCAGGUGUCUACUUCGACUCCAAUCAAAGGCAUAGCGCGAUGGGGCUCUUCCAGCUCAGGGGACGCUCGUCUUCUUCUCCGACGGCGACGGCCGGCGAAGGAGAUCUCGAGUUGCUUCUGGUUGCAAAGGAUUCAGGGGCUUGUUUGUAAUUUUUCUUUUCUUCAGGGUCCUUUGUGAAGUUUGGCUGGGAUAGAUGUCUCUCUAUCCUUUCCGUACGCUUCUGUAUCCCUACGAGUAUUUGUACCUUUUCCUUAUCUAGAAAUACAGAUGCGUAUUAUCAAAAAAUAAAUUCACCAUCUAGUAAUAGUUACUAUUCUUGUUGUUUGCUAGUAAAAGUGAAUUGGUGGCUUACAGUUGCCUGUCCAUGAAAACUAGCUAUUGAACACCUCCAGCUUGUACUCAUCACUCGUUGUCAAAUGUUACAAAGUAAGUUGUCUGUACAAUGACCUGACUGUGACAAACUAUUUCUUGCCU